GCAAAUGCAAGAUACUAUUUAAUCCACAAAAUAAUAAAAAAAAGAAUUAGAGACAAAAUCUGGCACAUGACGAAAACGUGAAUCGUAAUAAAAAGGGUCUUGUUUGCAACACACGAAGGGGUAUUGCUCAAAUUUCGCUUGAACGAAUGUAAGAAAUAUGAGAAUCCAUCAGAUACAUAAUAAAAAUUGAAAUAAUAUUAUUAAACAACAACUAUAGGAUUUUUCAAACCCUUAACACAUAUUUAAAGCGUCAAAACAAAAUCUUAAUUCUGUAGAUAAAUUCGAAUUGAAUUAGAAAACUGUAAAAACAACAAAAAUAUCCUUAAAUUAACUCAAAGCAGAAAAAACACUGAAAUAGACUCCUAAAUGAUGAAAUUUGAAUCCGAAAGUUUGGCCGACAUCGUCCCUCAACAAAACUAUAGAGAACCGAAAAACACUUUGGAAUUGUACUCGUUCAUGUAAAUCUAGCACUCAAUCUAAAAGUUCUGCGCGUUUUCAUAUAUCCUUCUCAUUUCUCCUAUUUUUCAACUAAUUUAUGAUUUCCUCUUCUAAUUGUUCUACAUCAAACUCACUUCCUAUACUUUUGCAUGCUAGCACACCAUUAUUUCAUGAAUAUCUCUAAAUAUAAAUAAGCUAUAAAUAUGAAAAACAAGAAGUUCAUUAAUCAGAAACUAAUCCCCUUGAAAAUGUCGACCAAAUAGCAAAGUAGAAGAGCCAUGGAUGUUGAUCCACUCAAUAUUAUAAGAGCCACCACUCCCAAAACCAAGCCUGGCCUGCUAUCCAUCAGCAAAUUUUGCAGCAACCCUACUGCUUCAAUUACAUCUGAAUCAUAAUUCACGUACCAUUUCUUCUCCCACUCCAUCCAAUUCUCCGGUGGCGAGUGACUUUCCUCGGCCAUCUUCAGAUCAUGUAUUCUCAUUCUAAGAACAAUCAUGUUUUCAUCAACCAAUCUUCCUUUCUUAUGCCCUUUAUUAUGGCUUGCAUCGUUUUUCAUUGCAAAAACUGGACUGUAAACUCUUUCUCGUCGACCGGGAGAUGGUUUUUUAGGCAUGAAAUUGCCUGAAAAUGGAAGUGAGCNNNNNNNNNNNNNNNNNNNNNNNNNNNNNNNNNNNNNNNNNNNNNNNNNNNNNNNNNNNNNNNNNNNNNNNNNNNNUAAAGUAUUUUCGAAAUAAAAAGCUCUUUUGAAAUUUAAUUUACGAAAAAAAUUUAGUAUAGUUUCCUCCAAAAACUAUUCUUCUACCGAAAGAAAAAGCAAAAAUCAUGUCAAAUGAGCCCUAAAUAAUACAGUCAAUAAAAAGUUUAAUAUUUGCACAUUUAAUUGACUUUAUGAUUCCAUUCUAUAUCACUUGUUAGAUUACAGGUAAAUAAUCCUCGGUUUGUACGAAUAACUCAUAUUUGGUUUAAUUAAAACUAAAAUUUUCAAUACAUUUUGAUAAAAGUUGAUGAAAUUAGUAGAUAAAAUCUGUGACAUCAUGAAAUAUAUAGUUAAAAUAAACUUUUGGCUCCGACUUUAAUUUUUUGAUCGGUUAACUUCAAUUUUUUUUCAAAAUUUCAAACCACACCAAACAGGGACAUUGCAUUUUCCAACAGUAUUAUAGAAAGAAAGUUCAUUGGAAGAAAAUCGUUGGCUUUUUGGCUUUUAUCUUUGUCUAUUACAUAGAUAAAUAGAUACAAAGUACUUAGAAGAAAACAAUCAAAAUAUAUUUUGAAUGUAAUCGUCCUUUAUGAUAUUGUGCGUGUUUAUUAAAUAGGAAAAGCAAACGCGGGAUGAUCCAUACGAUAACAUUUGUCCCGCUCGCUCAACUUUUUAAUUUUGUCUUGAGCGAUUUUGUUUCUGUUCAUUUAACUUUUAAUAUUAUUGUUAUAUAGUUUAAAUGUAAAUUAAUUUAAAAUCUUAAAAAUUCAACUAAAAUAAUAAGAGGAAAAGUAUAAACAAACUCCUUAUCCCGUUCCCUACGCUCAAAGUGCUUGCCAUCUUAGUGGGAUAAACAAAGAACGUACAAAAAUAUUAUAUUCAUUGUAUGAUGAUACGUUAAGCAAUAGUUUUACUUUUUAGACUGCGAUAAGAUUAACAUUAUUUGUAUCUAAGGAGUUACAGAAAAUUUUACAUAUAGAUGAUGUGUCAAGAAGAGAUCGGAAAAGAUUAUUGUUAUCGUUAUUAUUUUUAUUUUUUUAAAAGAAAUUUUGAUUUAAUCAUAUCUCACUAUUUAUGUACUAUAUGUAAUAAAUUGUUAUAUGCAUCUAACUAGAGUUGGGCAAAUCUCCCGAACCGAACCCGACGGUUCUUGUCAAAUUAAAUACCCGAACGGGUAUCUGAAUUAAGAAUUGAUGGGUACGGUUCGAUUCUCGGUUCUAAACUAAGAACCGAAGAACUAAAUAAGAAUUGAAUCUUUUUAAUUUUUUUUAUAUCGAAUAAAUCUAAUUAUUUUAAUUUUAAUUUUUUAAAACUAAUUAACAAAUUAACAAUUUCUAAAUCCAAAUUUUUGGCACAAUUACCUAAUUUAUUAUUUCAUUUCUUAGCCCAACAAAGAUCGAACCCACUAAAUAACCCUAAAUACCUACACUAAAGUGCAUAACGCUGUCUCGACUCUCGUACUCACUCUCGCAGCAUCGCUGACAUUCCAAAACCUAUACAAUCGUCGGUUGACACUGUGACCUCCAAUAGAAGCUGUGACAUCCACCGAUCGAAACUUCGACUGUAGCGAUUAUUUAAACAAGGUAGUCUACUAGUCUCCGACAUUCAAAAACCAUUGAAUGUGUCAUUAGUUGUAUUUAUAUAAUGUUAUUAUAAAUGUUAAAAAAUUUAAUUAUAGUACGGAACCGAACCGAACGGUUCCAUAAUUAUAUUUGAACCCGAUGGUUCCAUUUACUAGAUACUCAAAAAUUUUGGUUCAGUUCGAUUCUCUUUAUAACUGAACCGAACCAAUCCGUGCCUACCUUUACAUCUAACACAAUCGUAUUUGAGGUUUUGACGAUACAAGAACCGAAUCAAAUGAAAACAAAGAAAGAGUUUAAAUUAAUUCCAGAAUUAAAAAACAAUUUAAAAUCCGAGGGUGAUGAGAUUAUUUUAAAGCAUGAUUGGGCAUCUUUUCUAGCAAUCAUAAACUCAUUCGAGACUUUUGGAUGUCGUGUGACAGCAAAUAAUAAAACAUUAAAUUAAAAGUUCCCUUUAUUUAAUAAACAAAUUCUUUACAAAGAUUAUUUAAAUCAAUAUUGUCUGUGAUGAAAACCUGGAAUCAGACUCAGAGCCCAACCGACUUUCCUUUUUCUUUAAUCCAAAAACCAAUAGAUUAUGCGUACUGCUCAGAAGCAAGACCCAUAGAAAUGUUCGCCAAUGCAGCGAUUAAAACAGCAAAAUUACGCAGCUUCGCCAAGAAAUUGCAUUCCCCUACCCCAAAUUAAAAUAUUAUUCAUUACAAAAAUAGAAAAUAUAACAUUGUAUGUCAAACAUGCCUAUAAUGUCUUAUGUAUAAACAAGCACCAAGAUUAUUUUUAUAUAAAUAUUUGAGAUAUAAUAAAGUUUUUUGUACAAAGCAACGUUGGAUGUGAUUAAAAAAAUAAUCAACAAGCACGCAAUUUUGCAUUUAGUCCUUUUUUUAACCUUCCCAGAAGAAUGUGCAUAUAUGAUUUCUUGAAAUGGAAGAACGGACUUUACAAUACAGCAAUGUAAAACAGAAAAUUCUACAUCAAAUGGCCAAUUUUUAUGUCGAGAAUUAUUUAUUAAUAAAAAUAGGUAUUACAGCCAUGGUAAAUAGCUCUACCAAAUUAUUGUAUUUUACGGUAUUUCCGACACAUUAAUAUACCAUGAAGGAAUGCCCAAGUUCAGGAUUUUAGUUACAACAUCCACCAAUUUUCUCACUAUUCUUGAAAAACGGAAAAUAGAUCAUUAGCUGAGAAAAAGACAUGACCUCCAUUUAUUGCACAAGCAUCUCCUUUGGAUUAGCACCUGUAUGAGAUAAAUAAUAGAAAGUGGCACAAUCUCUAUUAACAUCAUCAGCUGUCCAAGUAAUUACAAACCUUCAAGGUUAAACAGACUAAGUGGAUCAGAUGGAGGAGAAGAGUCAAGCUGCUGGUUGGGUUUACCUUGCUCAAGAAGGGGAGAUUCAGGAUGCUCGUAUGGUUCUGCAGGAUCAGUUUCAAGAGGCUCAAGCUUUGUAGUUGUUUGUAUUUGAUCACCAGGUGGCGGCUCAAGUUGCUGGUACUUGGGUUUAUUUUUCUCCAGGAGAAGGAAAGUAGUGUAAUACCAAAACAAAAGUAUUCUACUUUGAGCUAUCACUGUAUCUCUUAUCCGACUGCCUCCAAAUGAAAGCCGUUCAAGUGCCUGAAAAUGGGAAUGCCCGCAAAAGAAAGAAAAAAUUGGAUAAAAUGUAGUAGUAAAACAUUUGUAGGAGAAGAAAUAAAAAUACAAAGUCCUACGCUGGCCAUUAGUUAUAUAAAUAUAUGGAAGGAAAUGAUUAAUCCAUAUUUAAUGGAAUUUGAUUAAGAGUUCCUGUAUUUCAUAGGACAGUUGAGGGAAGUUAAUGGAAUUUGAUUAAGUGUUCUUGUAUUUCUUAGGACAGUUGAGGAAAGAUUAACACCAACUGUGACAAUCAAGAGUUAAAAUCCUGAAGUCUACAUCCUCACGCAAGCUCAAGGUGGUAGAAUUGAAACCAAGCGAAGAUUGGAUGGUAAAAAUGUACUAAUAUAGGUCAACAUUUCCCUUGAACUCUGAAUUUUGAAAAAGAAACAAGAUGAUAUUUGAAAUGUAAAUCAUGGAAUCUAGACUGCAUCAGUCUUGAAGAGAGUUGAAUAAUAUAGCUAAUGAUGAGAGGACCACUCGUCAAACACCACUCUUGUUUGCUCAUCAUCAAGUUCCAAGUUUGCUACUGCCCUGAUGAAGAGCCUUCCUCCGAUCGCCAAGACAAAGGUAGCUACAAGCAGAACUCAUUUAAGGAGAAAACGUUAUCCUCUCAAAUCCGAUGCAAAGACAAAGUAUGUUAAGACAAAGCUUGUUGCUAAGCCUGAACCCACUAAAGAAGGUAAUGCUAGCAACUAAGAAAGCUUCGCAGAAGGUGUAGGCAAUUUGGAAGAAGGCAGCAACUGAGGCUAAUUUGCUGGUGAGACCAUUUUGAGUCAAAAAAGAACUAAAAGAACACAUACACGUACACCAAGUCUUACGCCAUCAAGAGGCUAGUAGAAGAAAAAGUGCCCGCGGAGGCCAGAGGAAAGAGGACCUAAAACAGCAUUUCUCUAUAAGGCAAAAGGAGAGCCAAGAGAGAACCGAGGCACAUCGCUUGGUCAAGCAACAAGAACUACAGUCGGAUGGUGGUCAAGCAGGGAACCUAGUGGGUAGUAAGGGACUACCACCCACGGACCAGCAGUAAUGCAAAUACAGAGAAUAUGCAAGAAGGCAGUUGAGCAACCAAAAAAAAAAAAAAAAAAAGGAAUAAAAAAAGAAUCUUCUAUGUUUAAUUAGCCGAAACGGAAGAAAAAUGAGAUCCCCAUGCAGGUCACAGAAGUUGGAUACCAACCGGAAAGUGAUACAAAGAAUAAAUGAAUCAACAUAAUGCAAUAUCACAACUCUUUAGCUAACGAAAUUAAACUCUUGCACCGUAACAAGAAAAUGAUAAGAUGUAAAAUAGAAUGUAUAUAGUCUUCACUCACUUGUUCACCAGAUUGUAUAUCAAAUGAGUGCUGAUGAUCAAAUUGAAGGCCAGUAAAUUCGUUUAUGCAAAGCCCUUGAAAUCCCCUGAAAGUAACAGCAAAUAUAAAAUCUACUUUUUAUGCAAUUUUCCAAGGGGAAGGAGAGGAUUGAUCUCUCCUCCACUCAAAUCAAUGGAAACCACAAAGCAUUUGCAAAAUAACUAUGAAUAGAAUUACCAUCUUAUGAGAGAAAUGCGGGGAAUCCACCGAAAAAUGAUUGGCGUGUUCUCUGCAUUGACAUAGUAGCCUCCAAAUACAAUGAAAACUGUCAUAAGAGACGGUCCUAAGGCCAAUAUUGCUUCAGUGGUUGGAACCAUAGCUCCCACAGUUAGGCCCAUUGCAGAUACAGCAAAGGACUCGACGGUUACUAUUCCACAAAACCUCCUAAAUCUAUAAAGCCAAACUUUUUAGUUAGUUUUCAGAAAAUACUGUGCAACUGAUCCAAGCAAUUAUUCUCUAUGCAAUGUGUAAUGGCAAACCAUUUUACUUAUUAAAAAAUCAAAAAAUAAUGGCAUAAGAUUUUACUUAAAAAGAAGUGGAACAGUGUCAACAAAAUUCAGCUGUUGCAUCAUACCUCGAUUAAUGAAAUUGAAAAGUUCAAAGUUGUGUACUUGCUUUGUACCGUAUCCAGUUAGUUGUUAUAAUGAGACAAUGUCAAUGGUCUUUCUGGAGUGUGUAAAUGAUUAUCACCAUGCACAUUACCUUCUGUUUUCACAAAUUCAAAUUAAUUCUCUAUGGAACUUAAGGUUAUGUAUCAUCUUGCCUACAAUUAAGAAAUUAAGAACAGAACCUAAACAAGUUUUAUGAUGAUUAUCAAACCGAUAAUUAAUUACCAAAAAAUAAUACAACAAUUCUAACUGCAGGAUCCUCAUCAACUAGAGAGAUCACUGAGUGAGAUUCAUUCUUUUUAUGUUAACCCCUGCAUUCAGAACCUAAACAAGUUUUAUGAUGAUUAUCAAACCGAUAAUUAAUUACCAAAAAAGAAUACAACAAUUCUAACUGCAGGAUCCUCAUCAACUAGAGAGAUCACUGAGUGAGAUUCAUUCUUUUUAUGUUAACCCCUGCAUCUUUGGCUAUGCAACAAAUAGAACAUGUAUAGAAAUAUGCUAUGCUUUGUGAUAACAAAAGCAUGAAGCUAUACAUAGUCCAAAAAAUUUAGAAGAUUUCACUUCAGGUCAAAACUUUGGGUUUCAGGGAGAUUGUGUAUUAUCUCCAUUCAAUCAAGAGGGAUAUCUUCCUCACAACAGCAUGCUCCAUCUCAUAAUAGGGAGAUACUAUGUCAAUUUGCCUCCAAGGUAUCAUUCAAGGUCAGCAAACUUAUAAGACAAUAUGGUUAAAUAUAAGAGAAACCAACCUUGACAUGGUAGGAUGAAGACGAGCCAUGGGGUACAAAAUGGUACCAAACAGCAAUGGGAAUGCUGCUCCAACGGGAAUCUCAGCUAACAAUUUUGAGAGUAGAUAUGGUCCCAGUGAAUAGGACCCCUUGGCUCUCUCCCUGUCGACAAUUGCACGUUCCUUAGGGAAGACACUUACAGUCUUUGUAAGUGCAGCCAUUGCAGUGUUUAUGGCAGCAACCUGAAGGAUAGGGCAAUAUAAACCCAAUGCAUAAGAGACACCUAAUUGAAGACUCAAACAUCCUUUAUCCUAGUAUACCUCAUAUGAAGUUGUAUGGUGAUCAAAGCUAUACUCAUAUACUUAUUUCUGUCCUUCAUUUAGCAGGAAGAACAGUUCUUUGAAAAUUGACCCUAUUUAAUUGCAUGUGUGAACAUGAAAACUAAAGAUCAAGAACAUUCUAUGGGCUUUAUAAUUACACUAUUCAUUUUGCAACUCAUAAGAUAUAAAUUAUGGAAAAGACUUAAAAGAAGUUUGAAGGAUAUGUGGGUUAUAACUGGAUGUAAUAUCCAAGUAGAAUUAACAAAUUAUAACACCCAACUUUAAAAACCACGAAAAUUCACAUUCAUGACCUUGUGGGUAGGACAUUCAUAGCAUAUAUACAGAAGUGUAUUUAAAAACCCCUCAUAGGGCAUAGAUAUCUCUUUUCAAAAAGCCUCAAGUUCCAAGAAGAAGACAUGAUGAUGUGGUUUUAAAAAAAAUUAAAAAUUAACAAACAACAAACACAAUAGAAAUUGUUAAAGAUCAACAACUUCAAAAUCCAGACCCUGACUUCAAAGAAAAUGGUCUUUUUGCUCUUAUGUACUCUAUUUGUUCAGUAUGUCUAUAUUUGAAAGAAUUAUCUAAGAAGUGAUACUCACUUCUAUUGCAUGCAUGAAUCUAGAUUACAGGGGAGAGAAAAAGGAUGGUUGUAAAUGAAAAAUGAAAAUCUAAGAUUCAUAAGAGCAUUCAUAGUCCGGCAUAAACAAAAACGUGAGUUGAAGUUCCAUCAACAGAGUUUGAGUUUCAAUGAAAGCAACAAGAACACUAGAAGUUACUCCAGCAAUGCCAGAAAUAAUUAUUCAAACAAAUAUUUGGUAUUGUGGAAUUGUGCCAUUGGAUAAGAAUAUCCUUUGCAAUAACUUAGGUCCCCAUAACAUUUAGUUGUAUUCAAUUAGUCAGAAAAAAUUGUACGUCAGUGGGGCUAGAUAUAUAUUAAUAGGGUACUUGCGAUGGGAAUGUACAAAAUUGAAAGGGGGUGAUGCCCAGACCUCUUCUCAAUUGUACUGAAAAUAUAUGCUGAUAUUAGACUAAAUUGCAACCAGAAUAAAUAACCUUAGCACAUUUUUCAGAAAAGACAAGUUAAGAUUGCACACAAGCCGAAGUAAAUGUCAUACCUGAAGCAAUCCCAUUCUAUCUUGUAUUGAUGUCUGUGAUCUACCCAUCCUCCAGAAGACAGAACCAAAUAUGAGAGCUGAUGCAAUUGACAUUCUUGCUCGAACCUUGUUUGUUGGGCCGUCUCGAGAAGCCUUUUAUUGAUGGGCAAGUAUCAACCAAAUAGGGCAAGCAUAACAAUUAAACGAACACAAAAUAUCCAGUCAAAUAAUGAGUUCUAAUCAUAUGCAGAAAGGGAGGUUGACCGUCUGAUAAGCAAUUCCACAACAGCCUAUGAGAAUCUACAAUGUCAGCCAUUUGCAGCUAUUAGAUUGUUUUAAAUGUUCACUAUUGACUUAAUUCAUCAGGAUCAUGAUAGAAAGGAAAAAUAAGAAGUGGAAAGUCGGCAUGAAUGUUAUUUAAAAUUCAGCUAGAAACCCAAGCACCAUCCUCUUUCACGUAAGAAAGAAAAGAAAGGUGUCCUCUCCAGCAGGGAGGAACUAACUAUUAAAAUAGAUGUGUCAGUAGUAAAACACAAGUAAAGAUAUGCAAUAUUUUGGACUGCACAAUCCUGUUUGCUGAACAUUUUAUUUCCCAUGCAGCAUAAAUAAAAAAUCCAGCAAAUACUACUGUCCAUAUAUUCUAAUCACAGUAUGCCAGAGCCCUAUUACAAGUUUGUCUAUUCCUGUACAAAAUGAGUUCACUCAUUUCUAUUAUCCUUUCACUUAGCCCCUGUUUGGCUUGGAUUAAAAUCAAAUUAAAAUCUCAAGUCAAAGUCAACACUUAAAUUUAACAAUAGAUUUCAUAGGAUCCAUAAUUUUUCAACCACACAUUUCAUUAACUUUUAUCAAAGUCUAAUAAAAAUCUGAUUUUAAUCUACGUCAAACAGUAGCUUAUUCUGGCAAUAUAUUAUGGAGAUUCAUUUUCCAUUUGACUGCUUUUCCAUGCAAGUUUACACAACAUGACCUUAGAGUCCCUCAAAUGAAAGGUUCUAAUAAACUGCAGAAUUCUUCAAGUAAAGAGAUUAUGGGUUCCACCUGCAUCCAUGCGCGUUUAAGAAGUAGCCAGAACUGCCUCCACCAACCAACUUUCUUUUUAACGACAGUUCUCUUCCUUGAGUUUAUGUUGUUCUUAAGAUCCUCCCUGGUAAGUGGAGUUGCAUAUAGAGUUAAUGAUGUCUGCUCAGCAAAUGACUCAACGAGACCAUCUAUCCUUUUCUGAGAAGCAUUGACACUCUCGGCAGAAGUAUAGUCUACUGAUAUAAGAUCAGCCAAAAAUUCAGCGGGAUUUACAUGAUCUGGACAAAUGUACCUGUCAUUUAUUUAUUGACUUGAUCAGUACUCAUUUAACAGGAUGAAGUAGCAAACCCAUUAACAUAAAAAGGUGUAUGUGAGUGAUAGAAUAUUCAAGUGAAAAUAAGUUAAAUAAGGAUACUUUAACAUGCCGUAUGCCAACAACAUAUCAAUAAAAACAUGACAUCAUUCGGCACAGAGAACAGUUUAAAUUGUAUACUAGUGCCUAUUCUGUCAAUGUCGUUUAUCUUGGAAAGAGUCAAAUGUAAAUUGUCUCCAUUUAGGAAAACUAACAAUAAUACUUUUAUUAGUAAAUGAUUAACCAUACGCCUAUUAAUAUAUAAUGCACACUAAAAACAACCUAUAUGUUUUUGACACAGUGCAAGCCUGUAAUUAUAUCUCAAAGAGAACUUCUUUGUGCCACUAUCAGAUGACCACAUUUGAUAUAAGGAUUACCAAAAGCGUAGAAGGAUUCAUCAACAACGCAUGUGAGCCACUCUAUCUUGUAGAAACCAAGAAAGCUUGACAGUGGGAAACUUGGUUCUUCCUAGAACUCACAAGAACCAUCAAGCUGAUUCUUACAGAAUACAAUAUGUAGAUGAUGUGGUAAAAAAUAUGAUGGACGUUUAAAUGUACUAGAAUACAAUAUUAAGGAGCAUGAAAAGAAGUGGAUUGUUUUAUUUAUAUAUAUUAUCACAAAAGCUUAAUAGAUGAAAAUGGAGAAACAUAACAGGAAAAAUUCAGGUAAGUCAUAUGCAAGAAGGUUGUUAUGCCCAAACUGCACUCAAAAAUCCUACUCAUAACCUCCUUUUAUAUACAAGUAAUUGGACACACACACAUAUAUGCAGUUAAUCCCAUAUUUCACAUGGAAUAACAGCAACCUGAACAAUGUGGACCUUGUAUGCUAAGUAUACAUUAAAGGGCAUCCCAUAACUCACCCAAAUUUUGAAAAGUAAACCAAUACUUCAUCACGUGCAGGACCAGCAUAAACGAGUGCGCCUUCUGUCAGUAACACAAUGUCAUCAAAUUUUUCAUAAACCGAACUUCUAGGCUGGUGUAUAGAGCAAAUCACAGUGUGCCCAUCCUGUGCAAGUUGUCGUAAGUUUUCCAUCACUUUCUCUGCCUGGAAGGCAUCAAGUCCUGAAAGCAUCAUUUUUACAAGUAAUCAGCACAAAUUAAACAUUACUGCAUUAUUAAUCUGUCAUGAGAAGGGGGGGAAAAACAAAGAGUAAUGUGAGAAUAACAAGGAAAGAAGGGAGUUAAAUGUCGCAAUGUGGAAAUCUAACUACUGCAGAUAUGUUUCAAAACAUGGUAAUUAGUUCUAAUUAACAGGGUCUGCAAGGUAUUAAACAGGUUUAGGGGAAGCAUUAGCUAGAUCAGUUAACUGUUACAGCUAAUUUCUGCCAUAAAUUUAAGAAUAUAGUUAUGAAGUUGAGGAUUUAGACAAGCCUGAAUCAUUGAUUAGGAAAUGAUGUUCCAAAGAAAGAGGUAAAAGAAGAAAUGCACACCGUUUGAUUGAUAUUACAAGACAGAAGGAGCAUGAGGGGUAAAGUUACAAUGAUGUGCGAACUGCACAACAAAUCAUGCACAUACUCAAGAAAGUUACAUGUCCAUGUUGGACAUUGACACUCUUUAGACACUAUACAAUAGCGGACCCCUUGAUUUGUGCAAGAAAUUUAAAAAAAAGAAAAAAAAUUAUAUAAGUGAAGUGCAAAUAAUUAGUUAGUCAAAUUUCCACUAGGAUUAGAUAAAGAGAAAGGAUAGGAGUUCACAAAAUUAGCCUGAGUCACUUCGUCCUAACUUCAAGUUUCACCACAUGAUGUGCUCAGGUUAGACCUUGAAACUACAAAAUCAAAACAAAAGUGAAAAGCCAAAGUAACAUAAAAGAAACAGAUCAAGCUCAAUUCAGCAUGCUAUUUUAAGCUUGAAUAGCCCUAAUCUUGGUUAACAAGGUUCUGAGGCUCGAUACUGUUCAGAACUCAAAAUAUUCCAAUACAGUUCUCUUUACAGAGAUUUACAGACAAAGACGAUCAUGAUGUUUAGGUCAGUAAGUUUCGUAGGGGUAAUCAUACAUCUGUAUUCAUAUAAUAUGCACUUAUUUCAUCAUUUGAACAUUCUGUAUGCGUACACUUCACAAUGCAUACAAUCUUUGAAAGAGCUGUUUGCACAAACUACUUCUCCCUACAUCAGCUACUAGUUAAAGACUUAUUUCUAAAACAUCCUUUAACGUAAAAUGAAAUUGGUUUGCACAGUCUAUGAAAAAAUCUGAAAUUUUGAAUUAGAUGAAACUAAAAAGAAAGAGAUGAAAUAUCACGUACCAGUCGUAGGUUCGUCAGCAAAAAUGACAGAAGGACUAGCAAUCAGCUCACAUGCAAGUGACAAUCUUUUCUUUUCACCACCACUGAUUCCACGCACUUUUGCAUCCCCAACAUGCGAAUCAGCGCAACUGACCUUUAAGAGAAAUGACGAAAAUGCAAGAAAAGGAAAAGAAAUGAACAGGAGCUAUAGCUUUUACUUUAAGUGAGGUAGUUUGCUUUCAAUAAUACAGGUGGCAGAAACUGAUUUGGACUGAAAGGGCUAAAGUCAUUCUGCAUUAAUGCAUUAUGAGCGUGUCUUACUCUUGAUCUGAAAGCAACAAUAAUAACUUUUGUCAUACCAAAUCCUACGUGGCAUCUCGAGGCAACAAUAAUAUCUUUUGUCAUACCAAAUCCUACGUGGCAUCUCGAGGCCUAACAACCAGACAUGAUAGGUAAAAUUAUGCACAGAAAAGAAAGAAAUCUAAAGGUAAUAUAUAAGUCCUCAAAACGAUUGAAGGGAGUCAGCCGGCACUAUCAAGCUCAAUACCAUUGCCUAACAUGCUAGAAAGGUCCUAGCUUGUAUCGUGCAGUGCGUAAAGGACAAAAAAAAUCUUGGACAUAGAAGUCAGAUUGGUAGAUAUUUCUCAGAUUGGCAUUCAUUGUUGAAACUGAUAUGGGUCAGAAGCCUACCAAACAUGAAAAACAGGUAUAGCACGUCCAAACUCACAAAAUGCGACAGUUUGCCUGCUACAAGAAUUGAAGGACCAUGCAGUUGCAAAAGUGUGGCUCUUCUAACUCACUAGACUAUAAAUACAAAGCCAUCACUCUAUACAAGGUAAGAGAAAUGUAAAAAUCUAUUAAACUUUGAAUCGUUUCUGCCUCUUCUACAAUAACUCACAUAAAAGCGGAGUGAUAUCACCUACCGCCUCUUAAAGGUAUAUCCCACAUUCUUUAAAUAUGAAACAAUUAUCAACUCCACUUAACAAGGUCGACCUUUUAAAUUGAAAUCCAAAGGCAAUAUUGUUUCGGACCCUAAAAAGCUCAAAUGCGUAAUUUGAUCCGUAUAAAAUCUCAAAUGAGUAAAUGAAUUCCAAGAUUGAUAUUCUCAAACGAGUCUAAUGGAUGCUACUUAUUUUAACAAAAUUGAAAUUUUAAGCUGGAACCCCAAGACUUAAUGUCCCCAACUUCUGAUGGUUGUAGAUUGUCGACAAGUUUAAGCACUUGCAAGUUGACUGUAUAUGCUUAGUGAAUUCAAAUGUCAAGAUCACUAAUGCCUCGUGUAUUUGAAUUAGACUUAACAGUAAAUUUCGUAUAUAAUGGCAAGAAUCAUAGUCAAUAAAUCAACAGGAAUUUUUUUUAAGUAACAACAAAUGGAAGAUGGAUGGAAACCUGAACAUAAUGUCCAGCGUUUCUAAAUUUGAAAGCAAAAUCAUCUCACACAAAUGAAAUUUGAAAAAAAAUAAAGGCAAUCUUACAAGGCCUAGUUUCAAAAGGAGAUCAGUCACAUAUUCGUCUCUCUCUUCCACUGAAGAUAUUUCCUGCAGCUGGAGUUCAGCUGCAAGAGAAAGUGUUUCUCGAACAGUCAACUGUGAAAAGAAAAGAUCUUCCUGCCUUACAUAGGCAAACCUGCAACAGACAGCUUAUUCAUCAUUCAAAAACCUCAAAUUCCCCAAAAUUAAACUUGUACAAGAGAAGUCAAUCAUGAGAAGCCUCCAAAAGGUUGUAAGCCGCAUGAUAUAGUAGUUUUCACAUACUUGUAAGCUUUGUUUGAGAAUGGUUGCCCAUUAACCUCUAAAAGGCCAGACAAAUGCAAUCUUGGUGAUGCCACUAUCUGACCUGCCAGAACAUUGAGCAGAGUUGUCUUCCCUGACCCAGAUGGUCCCAUAAUUGCAAGUAAUCUACCAGGUUUUGCUUCUCCACUAACAUUUUGCAGCAAAAAUCGCACCUAAAAAUCGAAACGACGACCUAAAUUUCCAUUUACUGCCAUAAAAUACUCAAUGAAAUAGAAUCUAAUUCUUAAAGCCUCGCUUUUCAGAUAGAUGAAACUGUAAAAACAAAAACAUUACCCUUAAGACUUACAUCUAAAUGUUUUCAAAAGAGGAAAAACGUGACAAAAUUUCAGAGUGAAUUGCAUCCAAAUAUAAAUUUUUAUAAAUCUAUGUCUACAAGUUCCACCCAAAAUUAAUUUGUACGUUCUGUAAUAUUAUAAUGCUAUAUUAUUUAUAUAAUUCAUAUUUUCUCAAUUUGGAAUCAUUUAAUUGUAAAUCAUUUUUGAUUGAAUUUAACCAAAAUCAGUCAGAAUAAUCCAGCCAUUCAAUCAGAAUUUUCACCUUCUACUUUAUUACAAUAUUCAAUUUUUCUUUUUCUUAUUUCCCUCUCUUCCAAAUUCCAAAUGCACCACGCUUUUCAACUUUAUAACAUUUAUUGACCUCAGGACCAAUAACUAAACCAAGAAAAACACUUGAUUUCCACCACAAUCAAAUAAGCUUUAAUCUUAUACUGCUACUUACAGUUCCAAUAAAUAAAAAUUGCAUGAUAUAUGCACUUAAUAAGUUAUAUUAUGCAUACUCACUGAUUUGGAGGAUUUGUCGGAGAGUGAACAGUUGAUGUUAGUCCACUUAAUAGUGACCGGCGAAACUUUUCCUUUGACCGGAGCUUCACGGUCUCCUUCCUCGUCGUCGGGGACAUUCUCGGGAAGAAUUUCUGGUCCGGGAGCAGAGAAAAGGCGGAGCAGUAGCGCCGCCGCGACUGCCGCCAGCAGCUGACCAACUCCUCCGCCUCCUUUCCCGCCAAUUCUCAGCAUUUUCCUAUUUAUGUUUGUCUAAUUCUGGUUAGCUAUAUUGUGCAAAGAGCAGGGCAAGGUGGGUGCAUACGACGCCGUGUCACUGGAAUUUGCGUAACCCUAUGUAGCCUCCAACUUCAUGGUAGGAAAAUGGCUAGCAAGGAGACUGAUAGGUUUGAUGAACACGUGUCGCAGCACGAAGAAGAUAAGAUUUUCCUUUUGAGUUUUUGCCCGUUGGAGAAAUUAGCGUCUCUCGGAGCCACACGUUACGUAAACUGGAGUUUGCACCUCGCACCCCCAACCCAUCGGGGGGCUGCGUGCAAUAAAUUAAAAUUAGCAUCUAGAUUCGAAAAUAAGGUAAUACUAUAUGUGCAAAACGGUAUACAUAAAGGUUUAUAUUAUGUACAAACUAAAAUGUACAAGUAUCAUUUCCCAUGAAAAGAAACCAAUUCUUGAAUAAAGAAAUAAGCCUGUUUAACAAUAAAUAUUUGAGAAAAAUAAUGUUUUGAAUAAUAAUUUUUAGAAAAAUAUAUGAUUAAAAAGUAGGAAAAAAUUUAAAUUUACGUGCAAAAUAUUUUAUUUUGUAAAUGUGUGGUUGAAAAUAAUUAAAUAGAAGAAAAAAGAGAAUUUUCAAUUGAGGUUAAGCCUCUGUUUGUCACUCAUUAUUUGAGAAAUUAAAGAAUUUUGAAUAGUAUUUUUCGAAAAUGAGAGGUUAAAAAAUAAAGAAACUUUAUUAGUUUAUGUGUAGAAUAUUAUAUUUUGUGAAUGUGUGAUGAAUAAUUAUACUGUAAUAAAUAAUUUAUAAUUUUAAAGGUGGUCAAACAGACACUAAAUAUAUAUAGGAAUUUAUAUGGAAAAAUAAUAAUUUAAAUUUAGGUUAGAUACAUUCGUACCAGAUUUUUUAAUAGCUAGGCUAUAUUUUAAUUGCAUGAAAAAUUCACAAUCUUUAUACGUUAUCAUAUUUAUGUCCCAAAAAUUUUUCAUGACAUUCUUAUUCUUAAAUUAAUAUAAUUGGUCGUAAUUAUGAUUUCUUUCCAAAAUUUUCUUUAUGAUAGAGUUAAAAAAAAAACAUUAAUUUUCUAUUAUAUUUUUGAAUAAGCAAAACAAUAAUACUACAAAAAUAUGAUUAAAUAUUUGACACUUAUUUAAAGUACAUUAACAAUAUUUUUGGAAGAAAACUAUAACUAAGGAUAAUAUUUUUUUUUUAUUAAUGAAAUGUUAAAAAUAAAAAAAUGAUCGAAAAAAGUUAAGGAUAUAGGUGUGAUAAUGAAAUAAAAGUUAAUGACCUUUAAUAUAAUUAAAAUGUGGUGUGUUUAUUAAAAAAAAAUGUAGUGUGAAUAUAAUUCCCUUAAAUUUAUUAUCAGUAUAUUUUUUUUUCAUGAAUAAUAAUCCCCUAAAUACAAAAUGAUAUUCUUAAAUUGUAUAUACAUACUUCAAAAUAUAGAUUGUCACAAUCAUGUAACUAGGAGUUACAAUCAUAUAACAUAUAUAUUACAAUCACACAAUGUAUUAGGAUAAGCUCACAUUUUCGUACGAAUGAUUGAAUAAUAUUGUGGUCGAUACCUAUGACCAGAACAAUUGUUUAAAAAUGAUUGCUCAGUUAUGAGCUUCACCAAUAGAUGCAUAAACGAAGUAGAAACUGUGACCAAUUAUUUUGAAAAAAAAAAAAAAAUUGAGCAAGAAGGAAGCAAUUAUUAUGCACAAAUCACUAUUAUGGGUAACUACGUCAUUGAAGACCGAUACUCUAUUUUUUGUUUUACGAUUUGUGCAAAAGUUGAAAGGAAGAUAAUUGAGUAUUAAUUAUCAUCUAUUAAUUCUGAAUUUAAUUCACAUUAAUCAUCUGUUUAAAUCUAUAAUUUAUAAUUUUAAGAAACAGAAUAUUGAUUUAUGACAUGAUUUUUGGGAAAAGAAUUUUUAUUUAUGAUAUAUUUGAAAUCUCAUUCUUAAAAUAUGGUACAUAUGAUUUUCCCUUCUCCCAAUUCAAUAUAAAUGAGGUAUGCUAUACUCGACCUCACCUCGCAUCACCCCAAACCUAUCGUUUAACUUGUUUUUUCCAAAUGACAAUUCACACUUCGCCGUGGCCACUACUUCCACCACCGCCACCCACUGGCAAGGAGAAGGAGAUGGUGGUCAAAGUGUCAUUAAUGGUGGUGGUAGAUUGAAAUGGUGGAAGGUAGGGUUGGGAGUUGGGGACCUAUUAUAAUGGUGGAGGUGGUGGUUGGUAGCAUUAGGAUUGUGGCGGUUUAUUCAUCGGAGCCCUAUCCUCAUUCCCCGAUGCCGGAGUCCUCCAUCUCACCCAAAUAUGUGUUUCUAGCAAGUGUGGAAUUUAAAAAGUAAACAGGGUAGGUAGCAUAGUUUUCUAUUGCUAUUCUUCUGCCAAAUGGUUUGAAUGGGUCGAGCCUUUGGGUUACUAGGUUGGAAUAUUUAGCCCGGCCUAGAUCGAGUCGGCCAACUUUUUAGGAUGUGCUUCAAUUUAUUUUCUAAUCGUCAUUGUUGUACUUAUUUGUCUCUUAUAAUUUAUCAUGUCUGUUUUUUAGUUAUUACAUGUUCGACGAUCAGAUUUUUAUCAUAUUGCAUUGACGAUCAAUUUGUCAUCCAUUGAUGAGAAACUUAUAUAUAUAUAUAUAUAUAUGGGCGAAUUUAGGAGUUUUGAGUCAGUACGAUGACCGUUGACUGUCUACCAUCGAUCACAAUAAAAUAUUAAGAGUUCGUUUGAUACCCAAAAAAAAAAAGCAUUUUGUAAUAGUGAUUGAUGGAGAAUGUGUGCCUAAAAAAAGAAAAUUGAAUUUACGUGUACUAUUAUUUUAUUGAAAAAUAUAUGGUUGAAAAAAAGAAAUAAAAAAUGUACUUGAAAAAAAUUAUGAAUCAAAUAAGGCCUAAAGUUUAAUAUUAACAAUUAUUUUGUUCAAAUUGAACAUAUGUAAUUAUUUUAUAAGAAUAAGCGGACUCAUCAAAUAACAUUGUUGUCAAAUUUUGUAUAAAGGAAGAGCACAUAUUCAUAUCUUUACCAUUGUACUCGCAUUACAACAGAUAGAACCUAACAAAUUUUAUUUUGUCAAACUUAGAGUGAAUAUUCAAUGGAUGCCAUAGCGAUCGAGUUUAUAAUACCUCUGACAAGAGGUCACAAGUUCAAAUCUUGUUUGAUCCCCCACCCUGUUAAAUUUUGGCAAAAAUUGUAGAAUUUAAAUAUUAUUGCACAAUAAGUUUGUUGGUAAAAAAAAUUCGAAUUUGGGGCUCGCACUAUAUAAAUUUAAGUUCUGACCAAGUGAGCCACAAGAAGUGCUAGAAAAUAAACUGAAUACCAGCAAUAUAACCUAAAACUUUAAUCUAUUGCCAACAAAAAAAAAUAGCUCCUGACGGUUCCGGCAAAUUGGCCGCCCUAACUCGCUACCACCUAAAUCCGCCAUUGUAUAUAUUCAAUCUAUCGAACUAUGGGAGAUUAUUUUAUUUUAUCGAUAACUAAAUUAGGAAUUAUUCCUCUUUAAACCUAUCUUAUCGAAAAAUUAUCUGUAAGGUUAGGGGUGUUAAAUGAGGCGAGAUGUCUUGCACUAGUCGUGAAACGAGUUGAGUGCGAGCCAGCUUGUGUUGAAGAAUCUUGAGCUCGGUUAGCGAGAUACUCAAAGAUUAUUUAUUUAUUUAUUUUUUUCACGAUAAUUGCACUACAACUAAUAGAGGUGUAAUGAAAACGUAAAUUUGAAAGAAAACAUAACAAAUUAUAAAUUUGUAAAAAUUCUCAUCCUUUUAACCGGGCUUGCAACAUAAUAACUAUUAAAAAUUUAAACAGAAUUACAAUUCUACAAUCGUAGUCUGCAAUUGUACUUCUGAAAAAUUACAUAAUGACACUUUCAUUUUCUUGAAAAGUUAUUCGCCAAUAUAAACAUGUGUUUUUCAAAUUGCAAUAUUGUCUAGGCCACGUGAUGCGUCUCGAUCUUGAAAAAAUUAAUCUAUUAAUUUGUCUACUUUAUAUUGGGCACAAAGCUCUACGUGUUCAGUCUUCGUAAUCCUUUAACUACAAUAAACUAUGAACAUUCGAUGAAUGCAUGAAAUAUAUUUUCACGAAACUAGAUGUGAUUAGAAUUUUUAGUUGAUUGAACAAAUUGGCCGCAUCCAUGAUCUCCAAAAAAACUCCGAACUUGUUUUUUAUUACUUCCUCGAGUCUACUCUCUUACUAUGACACUCCUUUAAUAUCAGACAUUUUAUCUGAUCAAUACUCAAUUCUAUGACUUAAGUCACUACAAAAAAUUAAUGCACUCGUUAUAUGCACCUACAUGAAAUCUUACUAUUACAAGUAGAACACCAAAGUUGACAGAGGAAAGAAUGAUAGAAAAUGAAAUGGAAAAGAAAUAUGUUUCCCUGAAGCAUGCCUAUUAUAAUAGGUAAAAAUUCGAAAAAAAAUAUUUUUUUGAAAUUUCAAUUUCAAUUUCAAAAUUUUAAUUUAAUCCCAUUUUUAUUUAAAUUUUGCUAUUCAUACAUUUUUGGAUUACACCAUGUUGAUAUUUCCUUUGUUUUUCAAAAAAUGUGUAGGCGGGAAAAAUGUUUUUUAAGUGACGAAUAAUAUGGCAAAUUGUCAAACUUGAUGUAGACCAAAGUGUACAUCAAGUAUGAUUAUUUUUAUUUUUCAGUGGUAGGAGCCAUCUGCCAUGAAUUAGAAACAUACAUGUGCACCGUUGGGCACUCAUGCUUUAACAAGGGACCUAAUGGGUUUGUCUAUGCCCAUUCAUGGGCCGAGAAUGAACUUGACCCACAGGCUCGCUCACAAGCUAGCUUACUCGACUUGCAAGUCAACGAGCGAUUCAUCACAUAGAGCGUUGACCAGCUUACGCUCGCAACUUGUUACAUAUGAAUUGAUUGACGACUCGUCCAACUUUUCGCACUUAAUUAAAAUCAACGGUAAAAAUAAAAGGAAAAAGUUGUUAAAGAACCCAGUCAAAUAAUGGAUUUGAUCAAAUAACCUCAUUCCAAUAUUUUUUUGGUCAAAUAGCCUUCAAUUAUCAAACACAAUAAAUAAAUAGUGUCGAAUGUCAUAAAUACCAUCACAAUUGGAAAAGACCCUAAAACUCUUGUCAAUCCAAUUAAAUUCUCUAAUUCAAUUUUUGGAUCCCAAAAUCACAAUAGUUUUAUUCUCUUCAACUAUUAUUGCUACUCUAAAAUCCUAUUAUUCAUUAUAUCUUUCACCUAUUUGUGCAUCUUUUGACCACUUAUCAUCUAUAUUGAAAAAUCUCAAUUACAUUUGAAGAAAGAAGAAAGAUAAUUUUAGAAAUCUUAUAUAAAUUGUACUUUUAUUAUUGAAUAUAGUAUUGAAUAAUAUUAAGUUGGUGUUGUUUUCAUAAUUAGUGUGUGUGUGUGUUUUUUUUUUGUUUGUUUGUUUGUUUUUGUUUUUUUGUUUUUUGUUUUUGGGGUUGCAUGCAACUAUUGAAUAGUAAUGACACUCUAACUGUUAUCCAAAAUGUAGAAUGUCACUUUAGUCGUUAUCUACUAUGUAAGAUUACACUACAGUUGUUAUCUAUUGUGGUUUAUUUUUUUUCAAAGAAACGACUUCUAAUAAUAGAAUCCUAAGGUAAAUAACACAGAAAAAUUGACCAUUUCACAAAGAAAUGUUGAAAUGACAAACUUUUGUAUUAUCAAUAUAGUGAAAUCACAAAUCAUCCUAUUCAAUUUCUGUAUGUGCAUGUUUCAAUAUAAAUAAGUUUCAACUUAUUAUUUUUCAAGGUACAAAGGUCGUUACUGCUUAUAGUCGUGUUUACACAUGUAAUAGCACACGUGUUGUUUUCAUGUACAAUACUGACACUUAUGUCAUUCCAAAAUUUUCACCUAUAUUUAAUAUUGUUCAACAAAACAACCUUUAAUAAAGGACUCCAUAGUAUAUGUAACAUAGAAAUGUUGACCAUAUCAUAAAGAACGGUUGAAAUGACAUAACUUUUAUAUUAUCAAGAUGUUGAAAGUGCGAGUCAUACUAUUCAUAUGUGUCGAUUAAGUUAAUGAACAUAUCUCUUAAUCUUUAUACAUUUCAUAUGCAUAUUACAAUGUAAACAAAUUUCACUUAUUAUUUCUCAAGUGCGAAUAGGGCGUAACUAUUUAUAUUCAUGUUCAUAAAUAAAAUGACACAAGGGUCGUUUUAUUCUCAAUAAAGGCACUUGUGCAAUUCAGUUGAAUUCUCCACUAUUUUGAUUUAUUUUGAAGGCAACGAUCUUAAGCACUGGACCCCCUGACGUAUGUGAAAUAAAAUGAUUGAUCACAAGAUAAAGAACGAUUAAAAUGACAUAAAUUAUAUGAUAUUGAGUAGAUAAAAGCAUAAGUUAUUCUAUUGGUUCAUUAGAAUAUAAAUAAUUAACAUAUCUCUCAGCUUUUAUAACUGUCAUAGCAUCAUCUAAUUUAAAUGAGUUCAACUUAUUGGUUCUUGAGAACGAAUAGAGUGCGAAUGUUUAUUUUCCUAUUUAUAAACAGAAUGACACAUGGGUCAUUUUCUUCUUAGUAACGACAUGGUAUAUGUAACAUAAGAACGUUGACCAUAUCAUAAAGAAUGAUCUCAAGCAUUGGACCUCCUAAAGUGCGUAAGAUAGAAAGGUUAAUGAUUGAAAUGACAUAGAUCAUAUGAUAUUGAGUUAAUGAAAGUAUAAGUCAUUCUACUAAUUCAAUAGAUUAUAAGGGUGUGUUUGAGUCCCAUUUAUAUUUUUAAGAAUGUAUUUUGAAAUAAUAGAUUGAUGGAGAAUAUAUGAUGAAAAAAGAAGGAUUUUUUUAUUUAUGUUUAAUAUUAUUUUAAUGAAAAAUAUAUAGUUGAAAAGAAGAGAGAGAAAUGUAUUUUAGGAAAAAUAAGAAUCAAACACUCCCUAAGUAAUAAGCAUAUCACUCAAUUUUUGUAAAUAUCAAUCCCAUCUUACAAUUUAAAUGGGUUCAACUUAUUAGUUCUCGAGGCAUGAAUGGAGCUUGACUGUUAAUAAUCGUGUUUAUGAACAGAAUGAUACGAGGACCAUUCUCUUCUCAAUAACUAACACUUGUAUCUUUCUGUUGAUUUCUCCUAUAUUUUGAUUUAUUUUCAAUGCAGUGACCUCAAGUAUUGGAUCCUAACGUGCGUUAAAUAGAAAGGUUGAUUGCGUGACAAAGAAUGAUUGAAAUGACAUGGAUCAUAUGAUAUCGAGUUGAUGAAAGAAGAAGUUAUUCUAUUGGUUCAUUAGAAUAUAAGUAAUAAGCACAUCUCUCAACUUUUGUAAAUACCAUAUUCGUCUUAUAACCUAAAUGAGUACAACUUAUUGAUUUUCGAGGCACAAAAGGGACGGGGUGCUUAUAUUCAAUUUUACAAAUAUAAUGACACAAGAGCUAUUUUCUUCUCAGUAAAAGCACUAAUGUUGUUCCAUUGAUUUCUCCUAUAUUUUAAUUUGUUUCGAACCCAAAGACCUCAAACAUUGGACUCCUAGAUAAUAAGCAUAUCUCUAAACUUUUGUAACUAUAGUAUCCAUCCUAGAACUUAAAAUGAGUUUAGAUUAUUGGUUCUCGGGCGACGGAUGAGAUGUGGCUGCUUAUAAUUUUGUUUACAAAUGGAAUGACAUAAAUGCCAUUUUCUUCUCAAUAAAGGCACUUGUGCCAUUUUGAUAGACACUUAUAUGUCAAUAACAACAUCUGUGCCAUUCUCAUGAACACUUAUUUUACAAAUAUAACGAUACUUGUGCCAUUCCAAUGGUGAAAUCAUAAGUUAUUGUAUUGAUUCGUUAGAAAAUAUAAUUAAUGAACAUAUUUCUCAACUUGUAUUUAUAGAUAGAACGAAAUAAGGGUCAUUUUCAUUUUAGUAACUGCUCUUGUGCCGUUCUAUUGAUUUCUCUUAUAUUUUGCUUUUUUUUUCUAGCACAACGAUCUUAAACAUUGGAUCCUUUAACUUAAGAAAGUCAGAAAUGUUGAUCAUGUGACCAAGAACGAUUGAAUUGACAAAGAUUAUAUAAUAUCAAGUUCGUUUUUUUUUCAUUUUUAGGUGAUUUUUCCAUGCCAAUCAAACACACUCUUAGGCAUCAGGAGUUUGGUAAUUUUUAUGCUCGUCCCCUUUUGCACACUUAAUUUCUUAUUUUUUGCUAUUUAAUAAGAUAAAUUGACAUUACUUCGAUGAAUUAUCAUUUUUUUUCUCUAUGUGGUGUGAUGGGAAUGCAGUCUAAUAAAGUAAUUAGUCAACAUUCCCAGGAGAGUGUUAUAGAUGUUUAUUUUGGUGCAAGUGCAAUAUGGAGCAGUAUUAAAUAGCAGGACUUGAGACUAUUUUGACAUUAAUGUUGCUUAAAACCAACUCUGAGUAAUUUCUAGGCUUUUGGAUCUUUUUUUGCAAAUGUCUAUUUUUGUGGUCUCGUUUCUUGAGAAGUUCAACUAAUUUUGUCGAGCUCUACCCAUUGCAUUCUCUUCCCUACAGUUUGUGGUAGCUUAACUUUUCGAUAUUCGUAAUUUAGUGACAUUGUUUGCAGAAACAUGGAAAACAAAUACUCCAUACGUCGCCACUUAAAUAGUAUCGUUGACUUUCUUAAUCAAAUUGACCAUUUUUUACAUGAAAAAAGAACGGUCUGAUUAGGUGGACUUCGUAGAUCAUCUAACUUUGCUACAACCAGAAGGUUGAAACCACUUAGUGCUUGCUUUAUUAGGUUAAAUAAGAGAGAGUAAUUGAUUGAUGUGCCUGUUCGUAGCCCAAAUGAAGCUUCUGUAUUGAUCAGUUCAGUAAUUUACCUCAAUAAACUGUACGAACCAUAGUUUCUUGUUUGAAUGUCAAUAUUUAUCUUCAAAGUAAAGAUGUUCAUAUAAUAAUUUGUCUUAAAUGCGGUGAAUGUGGCCACAAAAAAGUCAAGUUGAUCAUUUAACCGAUGACAAGGAAGUAUUUGUUAACAAGGAAUUGUACUUUAUGUUUUUUUGUUUGAUCAAGUUGUUAAUAAUGAAUUCUCCUUGUGCCUCUCCCUAUGUCAAACCAAGAGCCAAACUGUGUACGAACUAAAAGGAGUCCAAGUGGUCGCAUAUGAUUAUGGACCAUAUAAAGUGGACUUGACGUCCAUUGCUCCACCAAUUGUUUUUCUUCUUUAGUAUUUUUAAUUAUCAGAUCAUACCUUGUGCUGCUAUUUACUUGGGGUAUAUUUGAGCAUCUCAUUUACAUCUAGUUUUGAUGUGAAAUUUUUAGGAGAGUAGAUGAUAUUGUUUGCUGGAAUCUUAGAAUUGUUUGCCUCUCACGACUUGUAACUGGAAAUCUAAUAAAAUCGUUUUAGGGAAAAGGAAGAGGCGAACCAAAAGGAAGAACUAUUCUAUUGAAGUAAGAUAUUUACUAUUUGUUCCAAUCCGGCAAAUUAUUGUUGUGAUAUUUUAAUUUGGUUUCAUCCGGCAAAUAAAUUUUCUUUCUUAUUCCAUCUUUGACUGGUUGGGGGAUGCCUUUAAUGUGCUACUACUGUACAAGAUCUAUGUUAGGGUUACAAGGUUAUAGCCAUGUGUCAGUUGAUUUGGAAAUUGUGUUGCGUUGGGUUUAUGUCCAAAUAUAAAAACUUUAAUGGCAUAGGCCUUGUCAGGAUGCAGUACAUAUUUUUCUCCUCGGUGUUACUACUAAAUAGGUGGCAUAGGUGUUCGCUCCCACAAAAUGUACACUUUUUACGUUACUGAUGUGGUCCACCAUUUACACCAUGAACUCUGUAAAGUAAAUGAUGCUGAUUGUGCACCCAUGACACUGCUAUUUGUCCAUUCAUUACAGAAUGUACUAAUUGCUUUAGCAGUUGCAUGUUUGUCGUGUCUGUAACUGGUUUAUCUUUCUUUAUUGGUUCAAUUAAUGUUAUUCUCUUCUAUGAUUGUAGUUUGAGAUUCUCCCCUUUUUUAGGAAAGCUAUACUGUAAAUGUUGAGCAAUUUGCAAGGACUAAACAAAAACAAGAAGAAGAUAAAGCGGCUGCUAGGUUGCAUUCAUUCAAAUAGGCAAUUUUCAAAGUUUUUAUUCACUUCCAUAGACAGAUAUAUCUAGUCCUGUUCUAUGUUCACCUUAGCCCUUUUUUUAUCUUUUGAUUGGACAGUGAUAGGUGCGGGACCUCUGGAUCUAGAACAACGUUCUCAAAGAAAGAUAAUAAAAUAAGAUCUCUCAAAUCUACGAGUACUUCAACAAAGGUUCACUACCUAAAUGCCUAUUUGCUUUCAUUGCUUGUCUUAUGUAUGUGAUGCGUAUGGAUAAGGUUUUAAUAGCUCAAGUUUAGUCAGUACAUUGGUUAACAAAUUUAUACAUUACUCGUAAGUUCUCUGUUUUGUAUUGAAUUUAAUCUUGCAUGCAUUUCUGUAUAUAUUAAUGAAGAUAAGAAUGCUAGUAAAGUUCCUUAUUUUCAACUGGCUACAUAAAAGCUAAUGCAUAUCUCUUCUUCCUUCUCCGGAUAACAAAAGAAAAUAAGCAAUGUAGAUGCUGUCAGUGUCCCCGUUGAUUGAUUUCCUCUGAGUCAUGGAAUAAAGAUGUUUUAACACUGUAUGUUAUCUAUGGUACUAAAAAAAGAUGGGGCUUAAUGUCUAAUAAAGUAAUUUAUAUGCAUGCUAGCCCAAGAUUGCUACUCGCAAUUUUCUUUUAUAUUUAUUGGUGGUUAAGCAUGUGGUUGUAACUGUAAAGUAUGAAAGAAAAUUAUUUUUCCUUGUAUUCAAUCAUAGGGAAGAUACUCCCAUAUAUACAGGUAGAGAAAUCUAAAUUAGGAAACUAUUCUAACUAGGAAAUACUAUAAUCAAGCUAUCAAUCCCCAUAAUUAAGCAUCUAUUUACAUACGUAACACUCCCCCUCAAAUUGGAGCAUAGAUAUUAAUCAUGCCCAGCUUGUUACAAAUAUAAUCAACCCGAAUCCCAUUUAGAGUCUUUGUGAAAAUAUCUCCUAGUUGUUCUCCAGUUUUCACGUAUCCUGUAGAGAUUAAAUUUCGCUGUACCUUUUCACGAAUAAAAUGACAGUCAAUUUUAAUAUACUUGGUUCGUUCAUAGAACGCAGGAUUAGAAUCAAUAUGAAGAGCAGCUUGAUUGUCACACCACAACCUUGCUGGUAUUGAAGUUUUAAGACCAACUUCAGUUAAGAGUUGAUAUAUCCACAUUAUCUCACACAAAGACUGUGCUGUAGCUCUAUAUUCUGAUUCUGCACUAGAUCGGGACACAACAUUUUGCUUUUUACAUUUCCAUGAGACUAAAGUUUCUCCAACAAAAAACACAAUAACUGGUAGUUGAUCUUCGGUCAAUCUUAGAACCUGCCCAAUCCACAUCUGAGAAGCAUUCGAUGUGGGUAUUUCCAUGAUUUCUGUAUAGUAUUCCACGUCUAGGAGCUCCCUUUAAAUAACACAAGAUCUAUUCUAAAGCUGUCCAAUGGUGAAUUGUUGGGGAAGACAUGAAGUGAAUUACAAUGCUGACGGGAUGUGCAAUAUCAGGACGGGUUAUUGUAAGAUAGUUCAAUUUUCCAAUUAGGAUAGUUCAAUUUUUCAACCAGUCUUCUAUACUUCUCAGGAUCUUCAAAUAAAUCAUUAUCUUUGGUAAGUCGCAAAUUGGAAAGUAUUGGAGCACUACUUGGCUUAGAUCCCAACUUUCUGAUGGGGAAAUGGGAGGAUAAUGGUUGGACAAAGAAGCAAUAGAUCUGUAGAAGCGAAAUAGAUUUUAUAUUAGUGAAAAGAAUGAUUAUAGCAACUGGAAUGAUAAUGGACAGCCUUUCGAGAGGGCCGAAUCUCUUCUAAAUAACACUUACAUUAAUCAGGUCGUGCCUCUCUUCCAUUCCCCCUACUAUUUAUAAGUGUGCCAAAACAGAUUCCUAACAGAAUUAGUCACUACCCCCACUCCCUUCCUUUCUCUUGAUUCUUCUAGAAUAAGUGUGCGUGAUUGGGGGCCUAUUAGUCACCCUUCCCAAUUCAGCCACCUUGUCCUCAAGGUAGAAGGUGGGAAAUUGUUGGUUGAUUAGGCUGUACGGUUCCCAGGUGGCUUCCACUGUAGACAUUCCUUUCCAUUUUAUCAGAACUUCCAUAUCCUCAGCAUCACUUGUUGGAACAAUUCGGGCACCCAAUACUGCUUCUGGCUCUACCGUUAGUUCCUAGUCCGCACCAAGGUUAAGUAGUAGUUGAGUGAUCAGAUGAUGCUCCCCAAUAGCUUUCCGUAACUAUGAAACGUGAAAGACCGAAUGAAUUACGGUCCCCAUGAUAGGUCUAGUUUAUAGGCAACCGCCCCAACUUUAGCCACAAUUUUAAAAGGUCCAUAGUAGCGAGGCGCUAGCUUCUCAUUGAUUUGGUGUGCCAGAUUUCUGCGUUGGUACGGCCUCAUCUUCAAAUAGACUAAAUCACAUAUAGAGAAUUCUACCAACCGUCGGUGCUUAUCAGCCGUGUUUUUCAUUUGUUGUUGAGCCUUCUCCAAAUGGAUCUUGAGUUCCUCCAGGACCCUGUAACGUUCUACUAAUUACUGAUCUAAGGAAGAAACAAUGGUGGUGCCCUUCUCAAACGGCAACAGAGUUGGGGGUUCUCUCCCAUAUAGUAUGCGAAAAGGUGUCAAUUGUGCAGAUACGUGGAAUGAUGUAUUGUAUGAGAAUUCUGCCAAAGCCAGAAAAUGGUGCCAUUUCUUUGGUCUGAAUGUAGCAAAACAGCGCAGAUAUGUUUCAACACUCCGAUUCACCACUUCCAUUUGGCCAUCGAUUUGGGGUGAUAGGCCGAACUGUGCUUUAAUUUUGUCCCCUGCAAAUGAAACAUUUCGCUCUAGAAUUUACUUAGAAAUACUUUAUCUCUGUUAGAUACUAUGGAUCGUGGCAUCCCGUGCAAACGAACUAUUUCCUUGAUAAAGAUUGAAGUGACUGAGGGUGUAGUGAAUAGAUGUUUAAGUCCAAUGAAAUGAGCAUUCUUACUUAGUCGAUCCACCACUACUAGAAUGGAAUCAAACCCCUCCGACUUAGGCAUACCUUCUAUGAAGUCCAUAGAUAUGUCUUCCCAAACCCGUUCUGGAAUAGGUAGAGGUUGUAAUAGGCCAGUUGGAGUCAAUGUUGAGUAUUUGCACUAUUGACAAACUUCACAAGCUACCACGUACUCCUGAAUGUCCUUCUUCAUGCCAACCCAGUAAAAUGUGCCAGCAACUCUCUUGUAGGUUUUGAAAAAUCCACCAUGCCCUCCAACUUUGCAUUCGUGUCCUUGUAGAGCUAGCCGGACCAAAGGAGAGCCUUUAGGUAUGGUGAUCCUAUCCUUGUAUUAUAAGACAUCUUGCACAAUUGUAUAGCCUGUGUAAGACAAUGGAUUAUCCUUAAUGGCAUUCCUCAUCAUACUUAGGUAGUGAUCAUCCAUCUGUUCUCUAAUUACUUCAUCUAUUUGCUAGACACUUGGAAUACUGAGAGCCAUAAAUCUUACUGUUUCCCAUUUUAUGGACAAUGCAUCUGCUGCCCUAUUUUCUAGCCCAGGUUUAUAUUUGAUGUCAAAGUCAAAUCCCAGCAAUUUUGUCAACCAUUUCUGAUACUCUUCAUUGAUGACUUGCUGUACAAGGAGAAAUUUGAGGCUCUUUUGAUCUGUUCUCACCACAAAUCACCUUCCUAGUAGGUAAUGCCUCCAUUUUUGUACUGCUAAAGCUAUUGCCUUGAGUUCUCUUUCAUAAACAGAUUUCCCUGAGUCCUGGGUGGGAAAACCUGGCUGAAAUAGGCUACAAGUCUCUAAUUCUACAUCAAAAUGGCGCCUAAACCAAUGCCAGAAGCAUCGGUUUCAAUAAUAAAUGUUUGUGAAAAAUCUGGAAGGGUUAAUACCGGAGUUGUUGUCAUGGCCUCUUUAAGUUUAUUGAAUGUGACUUCAACCGUGUCAUUCCAUCCAAAGCUAUCAUUCUUCAAUAGUUGAGUAAGGGGCCACACCAUUUUUCCAUACCCCUCCACAAAUCGCCUGUAAUAACUUGUUAACCAUAGAAAUCCCCUCAGCUCCUUCAGAAUCUUCGGUCUGGGCCAGUCACUCAUGGCUGCAACUUUGGACUGGUCAGCAGCAACUCUCGAUUCCAAGAUAAUAUGCCCAAGGUACUCAAUUUUCCUCUACCCAAAAGAACAUUUCUUCUUAUUGGCGAAAAGCUUGUGGUUUACCAAGAUCUGCAAUACCCUCUACAAGUGGUCUCUGUGUUCCUCUUCCGUUUGACUGUAUACCAUUAUAUCGUUAAAGAACACCAAAAUACAUUUUCUAAGCAUGUAUCUGAAAAUAUCAUUCAUUAAGGACUGAAAGGUGGCCGGUGUGUUAGUCAAACCAAAGGGCAUGACCAGAAAUUCAUAAUACCCUUCUUGAGUUCGAAAAAUAGUCUUUGGCAAGUCUUCCACCUUAACUCGAAUCUGGUGGUAAACUGAUCGAAUGUCGAUUUUUGAGAAUAUCUUAGCUCCAUGUAGCUCAUCUAGUAAUUCGUUGAUGACAGGGAUUAGGAAUUUGUCAGGCAUAGUUACUUUGUUUAGAGCUCGGUAAUCUACACAAAAAUGCCAACUUCCAUCCUUCUUCUUUACUAAGAGUAUCAGGCUUGAGAAAGGGCUGGUGUUGUGCUGAAUGAUACCGACUGCUAACUCUCUCGAACUAGUCACUCAAUUUCAUUUUUCUGAAAAUUGAGAUAUCGAUAAGGUCAGACACUUACUGGCUCCGCCCCAGACUUUAACACUACUACAUGGUCCUGUCUUCGUUUGGGAGGCAACUAUGUGAUAUCUUCAAAGACUAUCUUAUAUUCUUCCAGCACUUCUUCAACAAUUUUCGGUGGCCAUUGCAAAGGAGGAUUGUGGGAUAGCGUGAUGUUCCCUAAUUCCAGUAGAAAUCCCUCGCCUUGUUCCUUGAAAGCCUUCCACAUAGAUUUCAAUGAUACUGGAAUUUUGCUAAGGCUUGAGUCCCCUUGUAAGUUAACAGUCACCCCUUCCUCGGUAAAGGAAAUUGUGAGAUUAUUCGAGUCGACUUGCAUCGUCCUUAACUUCCAUAGCCACUGCAGUCUGAGUAUGACGUCGAAACUCCCCAAAUCCAAGGGUAGGAAGUCCUCAACCACUUCUAGGCCCAGCAGCUUUAAUGUUGCAUGCUUGCAAACACCUUCUUCUUUCGUUGUCAAUCCUAUGCCCAUUAUUACUCCAUAUCCAAUCGUGCCUGACAAUGGAAAUUCUUCCUCCUGCACUAGCCCAGUUAAGAUGAAAUUAUGAGAAGCUCCAUUAUCCACUAGUACUACCAUCUUUCUCUGACCAAUCAGUCCCUGUAGCUUCAUCGUUCCAGGUACCGUGAGCCCAACCACCGAAUUAAUGGAGAGUUCAACUGGUUGACCCAUCAAACCUCCUUCGAUUUAGGCACCACCAAGUCGUCAACUGUGACUUCGCCUCCUAUCAUUUCUUCUGACACCGACUGCUCCGUGUCUUUCAACUCCUGAAUCACCAGUACUUGCAGCUCUUUACUCUUACAUUUAUGGCCAAUAGUAAAAUUUUCGUCACAACGAAACAUAGGCCUCUCUCUUUCUUUGUUUGAAGCUCUGUGUCGGUAAGUCUUCUAAAGGGUGUGGAAAAUUUGGAAUGCGAGUUGGGGCGAUUUGUGGCUAGAUGUAAGGGUAUUGUGGGUUUGUGGGAGAUUUGGGCUAUUAUAUGGAUACUUUUAGGUUUAAUUGGGCCUGAGUUGGUAUGGGUUGUUUGGCUAAUAGUGUUUCGAUCCUCCACCAUUUAGGCUUUUUCAUCAUCUGCUCUAGGCCCACAGGUCUGAGUAAAUAUACCUCAGCCCUGAUUUUUGGCACCAACCCAUUAAGGAAAAUUGAUUCCAACAUUUCAUCAGAGACGUCUUUCAACGGCAUGGCCAAUUUUUCAAACCUCUGACGAUAAUUUCUGACCGUGUCCUCCUACUAGAUAGAGAGAAACUGAGCGCAUAAGGAUCCUCCCUGCAUGGACCGAAAUCGGAGAAGGAGUUGUGCUUUCAGAUCCUCCAAAUUUGUUGGUGGCCUUCGUUUCUCUUUCCACUUAUACCAUGUCAGGGCCUCAUCGUCAAAACAUACAGCAGCUGCCUCAACUUUAUCCUCUUCACUUAUUCGAUUGAGGCUAAGAUACCUCUCCACAUGGAAGAUCCACCCAUCUGGAUUGUUUCCCUAAAAAUGGGCAUCUCCAACCGUCGGACUCGUGGUUCCAACCUCCAAUCAUUGCCUAAGCUCACACUGUUCUGACUUCUCUCUAAUCUAGACUGUGUUAACCCAAAUUCUUAUUGUGUCAUUGGUGAGUUUUCUAUGGCUGGGCCUUUAUCCUUUCGUUCACUCUCCUGGUUUUCCCAAGUACACAGUAGAAGAUCAAACUUAGAAUGUAUCGACUUAAAAUCCGGUCGUAGGAUUUCGAGACCGGUCUGCAUCUCCUGAUGAUUGCUUUCAACCUUUUGUUCCAAUUGUCCCAUUCUGUACGCAAGAGUCAUGGCUGUGUUUGGCUGAUUUAGGGUGCUCUGAUACCAAUAUUAAUGGGAAAAUGGGAAAUUAAUGAUUGGACAAAAAAGCAAUAGAUCUGUAGAAGCGAAAUAUAUUUUAUAUUAAUGAAAAGAAAGAUUAUAGCAACUGGAAUGAUAAUGGACAGCCUUUCGAGAGGGCCAAAUCUUUCCUAAAUAACACUUACAUUAAUCAGGUCUUGCCUCUCCUCCCUUUUCCCCUACUAUUUAUGAGUGUGCCAAAACAAACUCCUAACAGAAUUAGUUACUACCCCCAUUCACUCUUCUCUUGAUUUUUCUAGAAUAAGUGUGCGUGAUUGGGGGCCUAUCACUUUCAUGUCUCUGUUAACAAGUCAAGUACAUACUUUCUCUGAGAUGAGAAGAUGCCUUUCUUGCUUCUUGUCACCUCAACUCUCAAGAAACACUUCAACACUCCUAAAUCCUUCAUAUGGAAUUGGGCGUGAAGAAAUGACUUUGGAGAUGAAAUUUCCAUAGUAUCACUGCCAGUAAUAACAAUAUCAUCAACAUACACAACAAAAAGAAUAAUGUCGGAUUUGGAUUGUUUGUAGAAGACUAAGUGAUCAGACUUGAUCUUUUGCAUUCUAAACUUUUCCAUUACCUGACUAAAUUUUCCAAACCAAGCACGUAGUCUUUGUUUCAACCCAUAUAAGGAUUUUCGAAGAUGACACACUUUCUCAUGCUCUCCCUGAGCAACAAACCCAGGAGGUUGCUCCAUAUAAACUUCUUCAUGGAGACCACCAUGUAAGAAGGCAUUUUUUAUGUCCAGUUGAUGUAAAGGCCAAUCAUGAAUAACUGCCAUAAAAAUGAAUAAGCGAACAAACAUUAACUUAGCGGCAUGAGAGAAUGUUAGAAUAAUUCACACUAUAAGUCUGAUCAUAGCCUUUAGCAACAAGAUGGGCUUUAAACCGAACCACUGAUCCAUCAAGAUUGACUUUGACUGCAAAUACCCACUUACAUCUAAUUGCCUUUUUUCUGCAGGUAAAUCCACUAAAUCCCAAUUACCAUUAGUAUCCAAAGCAUUUAUCUCCUCAAUUAAAGCUUCACGCCAACCAGGAUUGUAUAAAGCUUCAUGAACAGUUUUCGAAAGAGUCACAGAGUCAAGGGAAGCAACAAAAGAAGACAAGUGAUCAUAAGACACAAAAGAUGAAAUAGGAUAAGUACAUUGUCGUUUACUUUUGCCGAGAGCAAUAGGUAGAUCAAGGUCGCUGGACAUUGGAUCCGAUGCCGAAGAAGAGACAGGUAUCGAACAUGCAUCAGGAGGGCCUCGUCUUCUGGAAUGCACAUGGUGAAUAGGUGGUGGUGUGGGAGCAGUAGGUGUCGAAGUGACAUUAGUUGACUGGUAAGUGACAUAAUACACCAACAGAUCAUCAUCCUCCUCCUUACUGAAAGAAGUAUAAGAAGUUGGAAAGAAAGGAAUCUAUUCGAGAAAAGUAAUAUCAAUUAACACAAGAUAUUUGUUAAGACUCGGGCAAUAGCACCUAUACUCUUUUUGUAGACGAGAGUAACCCAGAAAAAUACAUUUUAAAGAUUUGGGAUCUAAUUUAGUUACCUGGGGCAAACAUCACGAGUAUAACAUGUACUACCAAAAAUCUUAGGUUCAAUAGGAAAUAGGGGUUUAGUAAGGAAAAUGACACUGUAAGGAGUCUUACCAUAGAGAACGGAUGAAGGCAUCUGAUUAAUCAAGAAACAGACUGUGAAAAUUGCAUCAACCCAAAAUUGUUUAGGAAUAUGCAUAUGGAAUAGGAGUGCCCUAGCUAUCUCAAGAAGAUGUCUAUUAACACAAGAUGCCCUAACUGUUUAGGAAUAUUCGAGAAAAGUAAUAUCAAUUAACACAAGAUAUUUGUUAAGACUCGGGCAAUAGCACCUAUACUCUUUUUGUAGACGAGAGUAACCCAGAAAAAUACAUUUUAAAGAUUUGGGAUCUAAUUUAGUUACCUGGGGCAAACAUCACGAGUAUAACAUGUACUACCAAAAAUCUUAGGUUCAAUAGGAAAUAGGGGUUUAGUAAGGAAAAUGACACUGUAAGGCGUCUUACCAUAGAGAACGGAUGAAGGCAUCUGAUUAAUCAAGAAACAGACUGUGGAAAUUGCAUCAACCCAAAAUUGUUUAGGAAUAUGCAUAUGGAAUAGGAGUGCCCUAGCUAUCUCAAGAAGAUGUCUAUUUUUUCUUUCAGCCACACCAUUUUGAGAGGGGGUGUCAACAUACAAAGAUUGGUGAAGAAUACCAUUAUGAAGCAUGUAAGUUUGAAAAGAAUCGGAAAAAUAUUCUUUAACAUUAUCACUUAUUAAUGUUUGUACAGAAACAUUAAACUAAGUUUGAAUUUCAACACAAAAGGCACUAAAAUGAGAAAAUAAUUCAGAGCGAUUCUUCAUUAAAUAAACCAAGUCACAUAAGAAAAAUCAUCAACAAAGGUAACAAAAUACUGAAAUCCAGUUUUGGACAUGACAGGACAAGGACCCCAAACAUCUAAAUGAACUAAUUCAAAAAGAAAACUAGCUCUUUUAUUAACUUGAGGAACUGAGGACAGACGAUGAUGUUAUGCAAAUUGACAUGACUCACAAUCUAAAGACGACACAUUCUAAAACCGAGGACAUAAUUUCAUCAACAAAGAUAAAGAUGAAUGUCCCAACCGGCAAGUGCUUCAAAAGGAGUUAAGAUGCCUAAACACGCAAUGGACUUGGGCAACUAGCUAUCCAUAAUAUAUAGAGACUGUUUGAUUCAUGUCCUUUACUAAUAAUCUUCUUCAUCAUAAGAUUCUAAAAAAGACAGUAAUUAGCAAAAAAUGAGACACAAUAGUUUAAAGUUUGAUUAAGCUUGCUCACAGACAUUAAAUUAAAUGAAAAUUGAGGUAGACUUAAAAUAGAUGAUAAAGAAAUGGAUGGAGUUGGAUUAAUAGUGCCAGAAUCGAGGACAGAGGAUGUAGAUCCAUCAGUUUAAGUAAUAGUGGAAGGAGAUGUAUGGGAUUGAAAAGUGGAGAAGAGACUAGGAUUACAUGUCAUAUGAUCUGUGGCACCGAAAUCAAUGACCCAUUUUGAGGAAGAGGAUAGAUGACCUGUACUAGGUUUACUUGUCUUAGCAACGACAAAGAUAGGAUGAGAUGAAUUCUUCAAUGCUUCUGGGUACUGAGCGAAUUUGGCAAAUUCAUUUGUAGAAACUGUAAUGGUUUGCCCAAAGAACGAGAUGGGUGUAGUAGUAGCUGCAAUAUGGGUUGAGUGAGACUUUUGAGAUUUAUUUUACAGUGUUUCGGCACGAGUAUUUGGUAUAACCCGGCUCAUGACAGUAGUAGCAUACAAUCCUUCAUUCUGAUUUCGAUUGACCCGAUUACCUGUACCCCGCCUCGUGUAUUAUCUCUACUAUUGCGACUGAUAAGAGCAUUAAAAGUCUGAACAGAUGAAGCAACAGAAUCACCAGUUUCUGUGCGAAGUACUCUAGUCAAAGUUUCUUGCAGAGAUGAAAUCUCAGUACUGGAGAGAAUCUGGGAUUUAGCAGUCUCAAACUGAGAAGUAAGACAAGCUCGAAAACUCAUCACAGCCAUUUGCUCCCUCUAAGUUUGCUGCACUUUCACAUCUGGACUAAAGGGUAACAAGGCAUUCAGUUCUUCGUAUAUCUUUUUGAAAUUCAUAAAAUAAGCUUAAAGAGACUGAUCUUGUUGUUCAGCAUGGUAAAAACCCUUACAGACUUCAUAAAUCCGUGAUAUAUUUCCUUUCCCGGAGUACAUAAAUUCUAAAUAUUCCAUUCAUUUAUUAACAUACUCACAGUGAUUAAUCUAUGUGUCAAUGGAAUUACGGAUUUGUAAGAAUAAUCGGGCAUUAUCUCUUAACCAUGUUUGACGAGUUUUAUCUGUUGGUGGAUCUUCAAUAAGGUGAUUGUCCAUAGAAAUACUUCGCAGAUAAAUUCAAAUUGUCUUACACCAAUUUAAAUAAUUUGGACCAAUUAACUUAUGUUCCGUGAUUUUGGAUAUCAUUGGGAUGACAUCAGUUACGAUUAAAUCCUUUUGUUUGUUAGCCAUAGAAACAAAGCACAAGAUCCAAAUUACAAUAUCCCAAAUUCAACAAGGCCCACAAUGAUAGGCCCAAACAAUAUCUAAUUAAUAGCCCAACUAAUAAUUAGUUAAGCCCAAUUGCCCAAACAUCACUACUCAGCACUAUUCAAUUAAUUGAAGCCCAAAAUAAUGGCCCAACAACACUACAACCAAUCUACACAAUCGUUAGUACCCACGAUCCAACAUAAUCUAAGAGAAGAAACGAGUGCAACCUGAGGUCGAAGCCUUCAAUCGGAGGUGUAAAAUCACCAACCUAACAUCGAAACUUCCACCAACCCUACAAGGAGACGUUGGAAGCCUACUGUGACCAAGAAUCAACCGUUGAACUGGGAAGGAAACUGUGACCAACACCAUUGGACUGCACGAACCAAGGCUAUGACACGAGAAGAUGACUGAGAUCUUGAGGAGCGAGGCUGUAAUACCUCUAACUGAGAACGCAGGACAAGAGUUUGAUAUAAAAUACGUGAGGAAUUUGAAGAACCCAGAUGGCGACUAAGACACGAUCGCCUAUUACUAUGAAUCAAGAGGACAAUCACUCAAAAUUUCACACACGAGUAAGUAACUUAGGGCUCUGAUACCAUGUAAAGUAUGAAAGAAAAUUAUUUUUCCUUCUAUUCAAUCAUAGGGAAGAUACACCCAUAUAUAUAGGUAGAGAAAUCUAAAUUAGGAAAUUAUUCUAACUAGGGAAUCCUACAAUCAAGCUAUCAAUCCCUAUAAUUAAGCAUCUAUUUACAUACAUAACAGUAACAAAUCCUUUUUGUGUGCAUGCAUUGAAGGGUGCUGAUUUAACAUUUCACUGGGAGGCUAACAAGGCUCUUAAGCUGUCAAGGCCUCCUUUUCAUGAAGUAGACUAUGACUAUCGUUUGUUAUUUUUGCAUUUGCAUUUGCAUUUUGUUUGAUACCUAUGAUAAAAUAUUAUCAUCACUUUAUUAAAAGAGAAGAUAUCAGUUUCAUUGCAUUUUUCUUCUCGGUCAACUCUUUGUAUCGUCUAAAAUGACUGUGCAAAUUCUCAUAGUGUUUCCACUUUAUGUAUACAUACAUUUCAUUCGUCAGGUUAUUUCUUUCAUGGUAUGGUGCCAUAUUAACUAGGGUUUGUAUCAUUUGAAAAAUGAAGAAAAAUGCUGGAAACUUGGAAAGCUGGAUUGCUCUUCAUGUUGAUAAAUACAUUCUAUACCGUCCCUCCGAGGAUCAUGUCCGCACGUCAUAAAGGGAGGUCUACAGGAAGGAGAACCGCAUCUCGAAUGUCCAGCCUAAGUAUGUAUAACCUGUGUUCGCAUCCGAAUUUACUUGGGCGGCGAACCAGGGGGGAAUGCCGCCACUCCUCCGGAUUAGUCGGACAAAACUUGGAAACCUGAGUUAUCAAAAAAAAAAAAAAAAUUACAUUCUAUACCAAAAAUUUCAGUAAUUUUGUCUUUAAAGGGGUGCUUAGUCAUUGUUGUUGGAGCCAGAAAGUGCUCGAUCAUCUUUUUGGAACCUAAAGCUGUUGGAAUGAUAAUGAUUAAUGUCCAAUUACUUGAUCUCUUCUUCCAUUGUUAUCUGAUUCAACCUUAAUGGUGUUUAAUGUCACUUUCAAACGCAUAGCAGGUGAAAUCCUUUAAUACUUGUGAACGUGUACCGGUGCAUUUUCCUGAGGUUGUCCUUUGCUUCGAGGUAUACUAUAACAGGCGCUCUUGGUUAAAGGUAAGCACCACCACUUUCUUGCAUCUCAAUAUCCACAAAAGAAAACUGAUGUUUAUUGUUGGAUUUUAAUUUCUGUCCAUCUUUUGUCUUUGGUUCUUAUUACCGGAUCAUUUGAACUUUGUAUCUUUCUAACUGAAUGCUUUUCAGCUAAAAUGAUAUUAGCUUAAGUUUUAAUAUAUAAUAUAGAAAUAUAAAGCACUGGACAAUGUCCUUAGAUGUGAGUUUGUAAGUCCAGUCUGUUCUUUGCAAUUGCUGAAGAAUCAAACCCGUCUUCAUUGGUUACAUGCUCGACUUUCUUCAUUUUCCCUUAUUCUUAUUUUUUGCUUGGGGGUUGUAUUCAUCACCAUUCACCUGAACUUGUUCAUUGUAAUCAUGAUUACUUAUCAUGUUCCAAAUGUUCAUUGGAACAAAACUCGCCAUAAUUUGGAGGUCUUUACCAAAAUACACUUUGUUAAGAUACACAAUUUCCCAGCAUCUGAAUUUCCAUGGUUAAAUACGAGUUUGUUUUCUUAUCUGUUAUAAUGCUCUAUUCUCCUCUCUUUGUAGCUGUAUGGAAUGCAUAGAUUGAUGCAUGGCUAACUAGUGGAAACAAGAUGAUGGGUAACAGAAGUUGAAGACCUGAUCCAUGGGUCUGUUGGAAUAUCAUAGAUCUUAUACUUUAAGUGCUCGUAGUUUGAGAUAAUUUCUUUGGUAAAUGAUCAGAUAGAAAAAGGAGCAAAAAUGUUGGUUCUUACACGUGAAGAUUAGAGAGAAAAACUGGUCUUUAAUUUUCUGAUCUAGCUUUAGAAGAAAAUAUCUAUUGCUGCGAAGACUGCGUGGGUUAUAGAUUAUAGUUUUUCUGUCCUUUUUCUCUCUUGCCAUGUGUUUAUGUUUUUUCUAUUCUUUUCUGUGUUAAUGGAAUCUUGUAUUCAUUCCCGCCCUGAGCCAAAAAAAAAAAAGCGGACUUUAAUGCUAAUUGAUUAAGUAGGUCAAGUCCUAUGAUAUAUGUUUUUGUUUCUGGCGACUUAUUAUUCUCCUCAAUUUCUUUCACUUCUGACUGCAACUGAUGAUUAUGUUAAUAUGUUUGUAGACUCAAGAAUUUUUGGUUCUUGGACGGCAAUUUUUGACCGAAGUGGGAGACAAAAUAUAUUGCUUGACUGAUGAGAUCAUGAAAAAGGCGGGACAGCACGAUCCUUCUGGAUACUUCUUAAUAGAAGUAGAUUUCUGCAUUGUCUUUGUUUACUGAAAAUAAAGUAUAACUUUUAUCCCCAACUAGUUGCUAACACCAAUUGGAAUGUUUGCGGGAAGUAUUUUGCAAUGAUAUGAGGGAACACUCUGCUAUAGACUACAGCAAGCCCAUACUUGAUUGGCUUGAGAACUCUAAGGAUGAUGCACUUGAAAAAUGGGAUUGCAUCAUUGCUGGUGAAUUACAACAAAAGCAAAAGGCACUUUUGGGCAGCGAAAAAGUACAAUUGCCUGUGCUUAAAGCUCCACAUGCAAAAAAUAAGGUUUUGUGACCUAAGGUUUCGACUUGGUGCUGGAUAUCUUUACUGUCACCAGGUAUAUUCACUUUAUUUUUUCUCUAUUUCUGUUUCUUAAUGGGGUUCAUGUUGGAUCGAACACAUUGCGGUCAAAUUCAAUAUCCAGCUAGGAACCUGCUGUGAUUCCUAACUUGGUGGGAUGUGUGAAGACCCAUAUUGAACCAACUUGUACUGGACUUCCAAAAUUCAGUGUACCCCGCCCAUCCACAAUUAUCUCAUUGUUACCAAUCACCUGGAUUUCUCAGACCCAAUGACCAGGAUCGGAAAGUUGGAAUACAAAAUUUUCCCAAGAUAAAAAUGUUGCAUGUGCAAGUCAAUUCCACUAAAAGCCCAUUGAUAAAGUUUGAAGAAUGUUCAUAUGUUGCCAUUUGGUAUGGUUGGAUAGAUCUUCUCGAGACCUUUCAAACGAUAUAAAGAUCAUUAAUUUUGGACUUGAGACAAGAAAAUUAAGCCCUCCCAAAUUUAGAUGAAAAUAUGUUUUUUUAGUGAAAAUUUGUAAAAUUGAAAACUUCAUAAGAUGAUAACUUCUUUCACAUUGUGUUUCAUGAUGCCCAUUUGUUAUGGUUGGAUGAAUCUUCUCGAGACCUUUCCAACAAUAUAAAGUACAUAAAUUUUGGCCUUGGAAUGAAGAAGUUAUGGCCUCCUGAAAUAUUGAUAAAAAAAAUCCGAAAAUUAUGUUUGUUUUUUUUUUUUAAAGAUGAACAAUACUUUUUUUCCAUUUUUUAGUCUCGAUCGGAUCUAUUUGGGUCCAGAACACAAUUUUAAAAGCUGAUAUUAUGAAAUCUGACCACACAGAUGAACUUAGAACGUUAAGUGUAGUGGGUGUUCAAUGCCCAUUUUUUUUAAUUUAAAAAAGGGGUUAAAAGUUGGAAUGUCAAAUAAAAUUACUGUUUGACAUUUUCAAAUGAAUUUUAGAAAAUUGUAAAUUGGUCCCUCAAAUAUUCUUGAUUUUUAUGUGCAAUUAAAAUUAAUUUUUAGAUAAUCAAAAAUAUUUUCUUGGACUCGAUUAAAUUCUAAAUUUUUUAUAAAAAUCGAGAAUAUUUGUUAAGCAGUAUUUGCCUAGUGGGAGUUAUUUUUUUUUUUUUGAAGUGUUUCAUUUUCAGAUGAAAAAUACUCCGAAAGUAUUUAAAAUACCGCAUUAUAUAUACGUUCAUGAGUUGUGUGAGUCUUAACUAGGUUAUGUGAUCCAUUGUGACUUGUUUUCAUUUUUUUUGUGCUUGAUCUAAUAUGGCUAGAUCUGUGCACAUUUAUAGCAUCCUUAGAAGGAAUGCUAAAAAACCAAAGGCUAUGAAAUUUGUUGAAAUGUUCCAUACUUAUCGAGAUAAAUGAAUGGAUUUGGAACAUGACCUAUUAUGGAAUACGUAAAUAUUUUGGGAUUUAAGUUUUUGAUGACAAGCAGAAUAUAAUAAUUCUAACGUCACUUCCCAGUUAUUAGGGCUGUGUUGCGAUCGAGAUUUAGAUGGGAUUGAGAAUUUGUAAAAUAAAACUUCAAUGAUGUUAGCUUUGUUUUUGAAUUAUAAUUGAAGUUAUCUUCUGAAAGAAUUAAUUUGUUAUAUCAUGAUGCAUGUCAUGAUUGGAUAAAUGUGCAUAUUUAUGUUUUUAUUGCAUAUUAUGAAAUUAUCUAAUUGAAUACAUCAUGUAUUGUUAUAAAUGUUAAGGUCAAUAGAAUUAGUAAUAUUCUUACUUAAACCUAUUGAUUGUCAGUUGAGUGAUAGUUCAGUGAUUGGAAGAUUUAGAGAAAAUCUCACCAAGAACCAUUUGAUUCAUCGACUGAGUGGGAGUUCUGAAAUUGGAAGAAUUAAUGUGAUUCUCACUUAGAACCCGUAGAAUUUUGCAUUAUUAAAUUAAGUUUAUGAUAGUGAAACGAUAGGGUUGCGGACGAUGAUUGGGAACAUAGUGAACUUUCGACUCUGUGCCUAACGUUGAACUAUCGUAGAUGUUAAUUUACGUUAAUGCAAAAUUAAAUAUGUGCAUAAAUGGGCAUUAAUUAAGAAUAACAUGUCUCAAAAAAUCUGAUAGAUCAUGGCAUCAAAAUCUAUAGAAGUUAACCUUAAUAAAGGUGAUAAAUUAAAUGCAAUAAUAUUUGGCAUGAUAAGAUUUUAAAUAUACCAGAGCAUCAACCACGUAACCUUAUGUAGGUCAUACUACUCUAGAGAAUAGAGAUCAGAAUCGAACUUAGUCGAGUACGGGAAAAUGUGAAUUUUAGUACUCGAGCAUUUAAAUUGUUAAGUUAUGUUAUAAAUGAUCUUUUUUCUCAAAUGUGACUUAGAUGGUGGUUAGCAUAAUGUUAACAUUUUCAUUGGUCCCAUUAAUUUUAGAUGAGUAGUAAAUUCAAAUUAGUCUCUUCUUAAUUUAUGAAAUUUUGAAAGUUAUUGUGACUUACAAAUUAAAAUGUCAAUUUUUUUCUAUUUAUACUACCCGCCAUGUGAGUUAAAAGAUAUGCGACUUGAUGUUGCUAAGUCUCGAGGACAUACUUGUGUAGCAAUGAUCUAGUUUGUAUAAAAUUUUUAAUCUUAAGCAUUGAAUGAGCUAGAACAAUUGCGGGAUAGAUGUGGGAGACUGGUAAAGGGACCAAGACGAACUAUCAGAUAGUAAAUAAAUGAAAGUGGUUUUGGUAGAGGAUCAGUGUUAUAAAGGUUCAAGUGCUUCAACUAUACGAUUUGAAUCUCUUAGCUAAAAAGUGGUUAAGUUAAAAUAUAUUGCACUUGAAUAUAUUCAUCUUAGUGUUGUUUACGUGUCAACACUAUACAUAUUGGAUCUUAUCUUGUGUGGAUAGUGGAUUCAAAGGUUAGAAACCCACUUUGUAUGAGAUCAAAAGGUAUAUUAUUCUAUUGUCGAGUCUUUGACUUGAUACAAAGUAGAUAUAUACAAAUAAUAAAGAUAGAGUGGAUGUUUAUAUGAGUGAUACUGGAAUUUAGUAUUGUAAAGUGGAGAAUCUGACAUCCUAUUUGAUAUUAAGAUAAUAUCAAAGACUCCACUAAAUUUUGUCUCAGUUAUUGUUCUUCUAAGAGUGGUCUCUUACUUGAACUUAUGCGUGGUAUUUCUAUUCAUACUCACAGUAGUGAUGUUUAUUAUGGUUCUGGAUAUUUGUGCAAUUGUGUGAGGUUUUGAGUUGAGAAAACCAUUCAAAACUGUAAGAGCUAAAUUUUAGUAGAAUAAAUCCAUCCAAAUUUCUUUGCGGACUGUGAUUAAAAGAGAUAGAGAUGGAACUUUACUUUUCAUUACAUUUAUAGAUAGAUUCACGCAUUUCAACUAUGCCUCUGAUCUUCUUAAAUUGAAGAUAUUGCACUGGUUUAGAUUUUUCUGAAGUCAAGUAGAAAAUCAGAUUAUGGAAGUGAAGACUUUGAGAAUUAUCUGAUGUCAUGACUCUCUAUCACAAGAUAUCAAUGAUCUAUGCAAUGAAAGAGAUUCUUAUUUGAUAGACUAUUCCUUAAUCACCAAUAAUUAUAUGGUGUAUUUGAUUGACGAAACGAAAUAUUGCUAAAUGUGAUGAGGUUUAAGAUAUACAGUCCAACUUAUGUAUUUGCUUUUGAAAAGAGUGUUGCCUAACUACAACGUAUCAGUUAAUGGAGCUCUCUCAAUGUUGGUAAAUUUAUAAUAUAUAAGUUUGGACACGUAAAUAAUCUAAUGUGGGUUAUCAUAAACUCUUAAUAGACUUUAUAUGUUCUCGAUAAUGAGUAUGGGAACAUGAGUCUGUUAAGAACAAGAUGUGUCUCAAUGACAUACAUGUAGUCCAAAGAGGAACUGAAGUGAAAUUUUUGGAUAGAUAUCGAGUUAUAAGAUAUGACAUUUGACAUUUUUCCCAAUAAGGGAGAAAAAGUUGGAGAACAUCGUUGAAAUUGAUAUUAUUUGUAUUGAUGAAUCAGUUUUGAAUGUAUAAGAGAUGAUUCAAACUUCUAAUUCAAGUGGGAGUAAUCUGCUUCCGAGUUGGACUUAUCUAUUCAAAUGGGAGCCAUAUAAGAACUGUCUAAUUUCAAUGAUUCUUGGUUCCAAGUUGGAUCUAAGAGCUAGUUCAGAAAAUCAAAAGAGGACUUUCGAGAAAAGUGAUGGAAGUCUAUAGAUGGAGAAUAUAAUUUCAACCUAAUCUGGAUAUAGUGAAAGUCCUAUGCGGACAUUAUAUUUACCGAAAACAUUCAGGUUCUUGAAAGUUAAGUGGAAGACUAGUGAGUUUCUGAUAGAUAAAGCUCAUUUUUUAAAAAAGGUUAUACCCAAUGUGAGUGUAUUGAGUUGAAUAAAUUUUUUCAUAAUGAUGGGAUUCACUUCUGUACAUCAAUGCUAGCCGUGAUGAUAUGUUUAAAUUUAGAGUUACACCAAAUCGACCUAGAGACUGUAUCUUUUAUUCUCAAUUGAGAAAUGAUUAAAGAUAUCAACAUGAAUCGAUUUUUUAAUUACAUGUUAAAGCCUUUUUUUUGUAUAAUGGUAACUUUAUAGUUACACGCAUGGCCAAAUACAGUCAUCUCGACAGUCGUACUUGAGUUUUUAACAGGGUUAAAUCUCCUACAAGAAUUUCAUUUAAUGGACGAAAAUUAUUGUAUUUGUAUAAAAGGUCUGACGGUAGGUUGUAAUUCUAAUAUUGAUAUUGAUGACAUUGAAUUGGCUAAACAUGAUAAGGAGUGUAUAGAGAUCAAUUUGAAAUGAUUGUCAUCAUUUUUUGAGACAAAAGACAUGGGUUUAGCAAAUUGUAUGAUUUGUGCUAAGAAUAUUUUUCGUAUAUUCUUGCUCUAUCAUAAGAGUUUUAUACUAUAUAUGCUCAUGUGAAAUUGCAACUGUGACCAUAUAAGUCUUCAUAAAUAUCCAAAGAUUUCAUAAGUGCAUAAAAAGAUAUAUCCAGAGAAUCAUAUCUAGUACAACUAAGAGUCAGGAGAUAGAAGUAUACUAUGAUAUAUACUUUUCCUAACAAUGAUCAUGCCACGGAUCUAAUCAGUAGGUAUCAAUAUUAUCUUUAGAAAAUGUAUUGUGAUACCUGAAGGGUGCUGCUGUCAGUUAUUCUAUUUCGUUGUCAAAGAAAUAACUUAUGAUUGGAAUAGAUAUACAAUUGUUGACUAAGAAUGAGAGUUAGUCGAGCACAAUUAGUUAUUUGACUUGUGCGCUUUUGCUAUAUAAAGUAGCAAGAAGCAUAUGUUGUUAUGUAUAUCUUCGCAGCUAAAGACAUUGUUUGGUAUGGAUGUAUUGAGCAUCUAAUGAUAGUAGGUGAGAAUAUGAGAUCCAUGGUAGUUACGCAACUAUCUUAUAUGUUAAGAUCUCAAGUAUCAAAAUAGAACCAAACACUUACUGGUAAUUAUGUGAGAGAAAUUAGCAAAGAAAGUGUUUUUGCGAUAUAUCUACGUAAAUAAUGAUAUGUAAUCAUCAUACUCUGAAGAUGUUUAGAGAUAUAUUUGUUGAUAAUAUGGAAUCUCUACAAUUUCGUAGAAUAUGAUACUUGGUGUAUCAGAUAAACUCUUGAUUGAGUUUUGUGUGCCCAAAGAUUAACGAUUUUGAGUUCAUGUGUAAUCUAAUAUUGGGAUUAUAAGAUAAAUGAUUUGUAUGCACAUAUAAAGUAUAUCGAACGGGUUGAGAUUGGCUUACUCACACAAGCAAUCGCCUCAGACGUUUUAAGAUGAGAUGAAAUGAGACACAGUGAUCAUGUUGUGUACAUGAUCCAGUCGCCUUGAUAGUAAUCAUUUUGUUUACAUGAUCCAGUCACUUUGAUAAGGUAUCAAAAUGAUAUUACAACAAGUAAUUGAAAUGAAUUUCGCUAUCCAUUAAACCCGUUUAGUAGCCAAAUCGAGUUCUCAAUUUGAGAAUGCCUAGAUGAAUGAACAUAAGGAGAACUCAAGUUAAGUAUCGAGGAAUACUUGAACUAGGAUCUGUACGAUAUUCUUUGUUUACAAAGAAUAUGACAAGGCCCUAAGAAAGGGAGAAACAUCGUAGCACGUGUUUCAUACCGCGUGUGCUUUUACGACCAAUAUUGGGUAAAUGAGUAAAUGGAUCCCUGCUUCCUCAUUGUGUGAGACCCUGAGGUUUAUGUAACCUCACAUAUACCCUUAUGACUUUUGACUGUUUAUUGAGGUUUUAUUUCAGUGUUGCUACUUUAGUAUGUUGCCAAUGACUAUGAUUGAUUCGGUUUGAUGGGGUAUGUCUAGGAAAGCAGCUGAUUUAAAAUCGAAGGAUUUAAGUAGGAAAGGAAAACUAUUUUGACCAACAUUUAUUUUUGUAUUCACCGGCCGGACAAUUGUGUUAAACUAUUUGGGGUAUAGAAUGCAAUUGUGAAUACAAUGAUAUGAUGCGGAGUUCUAGUAUGUUCCACAAAUACUCGAGGGAUCAGAAAUACUUGAAUUAAUGUUAAAAAAUGAGUUUGGGGCAUAGCGAGAUGUGAUGUUCCUCCCGUACUAGAGCUACUAUAUAUUCCUAACAGUUUUAUAGUACCGUGAGCUCUAAUAUUACUCGUUGGUCGCACGAUCUAUUUACCAUAUGAAUUUUUGUGAGAUAGAUCUUGCAAAGGAUCUAAGGUGCGACAUUUCACUUGUGGUUCGGAUCAACCCCAUUAUGUGUGAGUGAGAGAUGUUGAAAAAUCCGGAUAAUGGAUCGUCCAUGUGGGGUGACCCAACCCGCAGGAUUUUAUAAGGGUUAGAGGGAGUGGUUUGAGUUUGAAUUUAGAAUUCAAACCCAUAACUCCCAAGUAACCACUUGAAACUUCCAUAUCGAAGUUAUGGAAAAGAGGGAGGAAAUGCAAGACAUGAGAAAAAUGGUGAAAAAAUUCGUAUGGAAAUUCACCUCUAAAUUGGAAAGUUCCUAGAAUCACAUUUUUGCAUGAAAUCUCACAAGAAAUGGCACUUAGAUUGUGAACAAUAAUCUCCUUUCAGUGAUUGGGAUUUGGAUCACUGGAGUACAAGAAAAUACAAAUUUGGAGAUUUGAAAGCAAUGUGAUUCAACCACAUAAAGAUCUUGAAGUUCAUCAUUUCAAGUAAGUUUGUUGACCCGAAAUUCAUGUCAAAACAUGCUACGAUUUUCCUACAGUUUCAUUUAGCACCAUUUGUUUGGUUUAUGUUAUUAUUUCUUCCCCUUUCUCCACCUGUCAUGCUGUACAAACAUUUGCCCCACUUUUAUCAUAUAUUUAGUUAAUGUAAAUGUAGAACUUAGAAGUGACAACUUAUAUUUGUACUAGCAGUUUUGACACGAGUAUUUAAAAGUAUGCAUUUUAUGUAUUUCUGGAUUUUCAUCUUGAUCAAAGCCCUUUGUAUUUAAUUAUUUGAACUGGUUUAUUUUGUUUGUCUAGGGGGAUUGCAAGCAUUUAAUUGUAUUGAGAGACAUGAGGUUGAUUCACCCAGAGGAUGUACAAAACCGAGCAGCCUAUCCUAGAGAUGGCAAUGGUUCGAUUUUGGUUUGGUUCGGCCAAAACCAUCACCAAACCGUCAAAUUUUUUAUCAUACCAUAACCGCACUAUAACCACAUAAAUCGGUUCGGUUUGGUUCGAUUAAUAACCACGAAAACAAAUUAUUUUUUAUAAGUCCAUUCAUCAAAUUGAUAUAAAACAAUUUAUGAAAAAAGAGUUAAUGAAAACAAACACACAAUAUUCCAAACGAAAAUGCAAACAUUAUCCCAAAUUUCAAUUGCAAAAUACAAAUUUAACAAACAAUAUUAUGAAUAUAACAAUACUAAACUUUUCCUUCAUUCUUGAUUCUUGUGCAUUGUAGUUACUUGAUUCAUGCUCAAUAAUUCAAAAGCUUCAACCUUAACUCAUAUUCAAUCUUAUUCUUCCCCACAACUCUUAUUAACAUAGGUCAACACUCAAAAUUAAUUCCUAUAUAGUAAAUAAGAAAUGUAAAUAGAGAAUACAACGAUACUACCUAAUCCAGCAUGAUUUUAACUAAGAUUUAAAUUUAAAAAAUGUACAUUUUCGUCAAUUUCCUUCUCACUAAACAUUGUCAUCUCUAAUAAAAGAAUGAUUUUUUAAAGUGGGUAAUCGGUUCAAUUUCGGUUCGACGGCAUAAAUACAAUACCUGCACCGCCACGAACCGGUUCAUUAAAAUCAAAUACCGUAUCCACUCCGUUGCACCAUCGGUUCGGUUUUUUCGUCCCAUUUGGUUCAGUUAACAUCAAUUUUUGAUUUUAAUGGUUCAAAUUGCCAUCCCUAACUUAUCCAUUGGCAACAUUUCAAUUCAAGUUGCAUUAUCGGAAAUGCUCUGCUUGCAAGAUUUACUGAGCAGAAAUGGUGACGGUGGACGACAAGUGGGCUCCGGAGAACCCUUGCUACUUUUGUGAUAUUUGCUAUUACAUGCUUCACCACGAAAAUGGUUCUCUGCUGUAUAGUGAUUUCUCUGUUUACGAUUAUCAUCUUGAAUAGUUGUUUUAAGUCAUUGGUCAAUGGAAAGGAUAAUUUCUGCAAUAUUUAUCCUGCUCUUGUAAGGGAUGAUUCAAGUUUUGUAAAACCUUUUAGCAUGUUUGGCAGACUUGAUUAGACUGUGUAAGAUCAUAUUUCCUCAAUCUGGCAUUUGGGUUAGAUGGUACUCGAAUAUCCUGAUAGUUUUUACUGUCUAUCUUGAUCAUCUAGAUGGAUUUAGACAUUCAAUCUCAUGCUAGUCAUGGGUCAGUUAUAGCCUAUGGGGCAAAUCAGUUUUUCUUUGCUCGCUCACUCUCUUAACUAUGUGCUCCUUCAAUUAUAGCAUGUUUGUUAUCAGGGAUUAGAUAGCACUGAGGAAAAAACUCUUGUUCAUUGUAUUGACUAAUUAUGUUCAAUACUGUUAGCAAAUAGAAUAAGAAAUGGCAGAAAUCAAGAGUAUUUAUUAGCUGAAAUGUAAAACAAUAUGAUUUCAUUUACUGCUAGUUGAGGGGACAUAUGAAUGUAAUUGGUAAGAUACCUAAUGACAAUCCUAUCCGAUCAAUAUCUAGUUACAAGAAAUCUAUAAGAUUACAAGAAAUGGCACAAGUAAUAGACUAUAGCCAUGCAAAUCUUUAGCCUAUCUUCUGUUGGGAUCGAGGUGUUGUAAAGAAUGAAGUUAAUGACCCGAUAUGAAGUAUUAAGGAUUGCAACAACAUAAAAAUAUAUCAAUGUAUAAAGUAAAGAAGAAAAAAGAGGAAUUAACACAGAUGCAAGAUGUAUUAUUAAUUGACAAUGUGGAGAGAAUACAACGCCACAACAAUAUUGGCUUCUACUAAACUGAAAGAAGAGACCUAUAUUUAUAAUACACGAGUCAAAGGAGACUUAUAUUUAUAGUACACGAGUCAAACCCUAAAAAUAGGCAAAAGAUGGAAAUUAGGAAGAAAAUCAUGUAAAAGAAAAAGAAAGGAAAAACGUGUGGUAUACAAGAAAAUUUGUUCCUUUCUUGGCUCCAAUUUGAUUCUUUCCAUAUCCUUCUUGAAUCCAAUAUGGUAUCUUUCCAAAACCAACAUGAUCACGUAAUCUUCCAAAUAUUUGACCAAAUUUUGAGGUAUCAAUUCAACAUCUCCUAGCCAUGAAAGGAUCAUGCUAAUCCUAACUCUCAACACUGCUAGUCUUACAACAUAUGGGAAUGGCAUCUGCACCAUCGUUUCUAUCUCUUUUGUCCGUUAUGCUAAUAACAGUUUCACCUGUCCUCACGUGUUCUUCAUCUUCGUUGUCGACAUAGCUAAACUCCAAUCGAACAUGUCUCGACUUGCCUAAAUAUAAUGGAAUUUUCCUCUCCUUGCCACAUCUAAGUUCUUCGAUCUUGACGAACUUAGCACUUUCCCCAAUCCUCAACUAGAUGUCUCUGAUCGCACCUCCGAGAGUUCUUGUUAGGAAUUAUUUGAAGGCAUUCAUGAUAAACUCAUUUGAAGUGUCGUAUCCAAACCCUACUUGGAAUCGAUGGAUUUUAACCAGAACUUCCAUGUCAAAUCAAUGAUAGAAUCGAUGAUAGGAUCUUGAGGGAUUGUCGGACAAAUGCAGGAUACAUGACUCCGGGUUUUUGUGGAGACAAUCACCUAGUACCUUUACUCCUUUCUUUAGCCCUUCAUUGGAUCCGCUUGUCCUAUAUAGAAUAAUCGAUCAAUAACUUGUAAUGAUGUUCGCUUUCCAUAUGAAGUCAUGCGACUGAGACGAAAAAUGCGUGCUGCAGUAGAUGAUUAGGUAAUUGUGGCUAACACGAUACCACGAGUGCCAUGGAUUGCUUCAUGAGCCUCCGGUGUGGCCCACUCAGGCUUGCGACUAGAACCAAAUUAGUUGUGGGUUGAUGUGCUAACUUUACACAAAGAUAAGCUCUAUUAUUUUUGGAGCAGAGAAAGGAAUUUCCACCAGUUGUGGGACAAUGUUGUACGGCAUGUGGUGAUUUUUUCAUUAGAGAAGAACUAGACAAAUGAUGCUGUGAUGGAACUAGAGGGAGAUGGAGACGUGGUUGAUCAGUCUCGAUCGGAUCAUCAUCAUUAUCAUAUCGAGCAGCUUUUAGAAACGAUCGCCUGUGAACCUAAAAAUUAGCAAUUGAAUCGCCAAGGAUCCUUAGAAGAGGAUCGAUCUUGUUGUAAUGGAGUGAAUAUCGAGUAUUUAGGUUGCGAGUUAGCUGAGUCCAUUGUGCACGGAAAAUUGGGCAAGUAACACUGCCGUGGUUAACAUUUUUUAAAGUGCUUUAUCUAAUAAUAAAAAUUUUAGGGCCUGUUUGUGAUUUAGCCCCCCGUUUCACCCCCAUUUUUGUGACAAUGAAAAUUGAUGGAAGAGUAUUUUUUUUUUUAAAUGAGUGGUUGAAAAAAAAGGAAAAGAUUUCGAUUUACGUGUAAUAUUAUUUUAUGGAAGAUUGUGUGGUUGAAAAUAGAAGAGCGAAAAAUGAAAUGUAAUGGAAUGGGAAUUAAUGGGGGCCAAAACGGGUUAAUUUCAAAAGGUGUAUUAUGAAAUAGUGAUUGAUAUUGAAAUGUGUGGUUAAAACGGAAGAAUUUUUUUUUAUUUAUGUGCAAUAUUAUUUUAAUGAAGAAUGUACGGUUAAAAAUGAGUACUGUAAAAAAAAAUGCGGUAGAAUGCGAUAGAAUGAUUGACAAACAAAGGUUUAAAGUUUUUAGAUGAAGACAAACUAAGAUAACUUUUAAUCAAGAAUUCGUUUUGCAAAAAGUAAAAGCAAAAUCUUACCUAAUGCGUCUUAAAUUAUUUAUAAAUAAUCAAACUUCAUUUUUAAUCACACAUUUUAAUAAAUCCAUAAAUAAUAUUUGCUUAUCCACUAAUCAUUUUUACCUAUUUUUAUAAAUUAAACCAUUUAUAAGCUCCCAAACGUAGGUUUAAUUUUGACGAGGGGCACAUUUUUAGAUAUGAGAUUUAUUAUUGAAUUAAUAUAUGCUACAAAUUAUUAUCAAAUAGUGACAGUACGCAGUCAAAUUAAGAAAAUGAAGCAAAAAAAAAAGAAAGAAAGAAAGAAAGAAAGAAAUAGUAUAAGUACUGGAAUGGAAAGUGGAAAAGGUUGGUUAGUAUCAAUUAACAAUUAUCCCUAUAUAUUGAAUAGUAAACUUUAUUGACAGAAAAACAUUAAUAUUUGAAUACAUGAAUCCCUACAAUUGAGAAAAUCGUAAUUUAAAUUAAUAUUUGUUUAUUUGAAUUUCAAAUAAAUUUUAUUAUAGUUUUUCACAUAAAUGUAUUUUUUUAUAUACUUGUCGAACAAUAGUCCUUUUUUUACAACGUUGCUUUCUAUAGUGGAUCCUUGAAAGUGUAAAUGACCACAUGAUAUUUACUAUUUUUUUAAUAUCAAAAGAAAAUUAAUGAAUUCUAUCAACAUCUUUUAUCUAAAGAAUUUAAAAACAUUAGUAAAUAGAAAAAAGUAAGUAGAGUCUAAUAAAGUGUUCUCACUUCCAAAGAAAAUGUUAAAAUACUUGGAACAUUUAAGCAAGAAAAAUCGAUUGGACGGAUUAGUUGUAAUUAUUUAUAGAGUAAUCUACACGGGGUCGGCCUUGAUAAUUUUAAGGUUCUAGGCGAUUAUUUAUUAUGAGGCCCUUGUACAUAAAUUUUUUAAUAAGCGUAACAACAUUAAAUAUUUAAAUAAAUAACAUAUAAGUAGGAUCCNNNNNNNNNNNNNNNNNNNNNNNNNNNNNNNNNNNNNNNNNNNNNNNNNNNNNNNNNNNNNNNNNNNNNNNNNNNNNNNNNNNNNNNNNNNNNNNNNNNNNNNNNNNNNNNNNNNNNNNNNNNNNNNNNNNNNNNNNNNNNNNNNNNNNNNNNNNNNNNNNNNNNNNNNNNNNNNNNNNNNNNNNNNNNNNNNNNNNNNNNNNNNNNNNNNNNNNNNNNNNNNNNNNNNNNNNNNNNNNNNNNNNNNNNNNNNNNNNNNNNNNNNNNNNNNNNNNNNNNNNNNNNNNNNNNNNNNNNNNNNNNNNNNNNNNNNNNNNNNNNNNNNNNNCCUCAUGAGGCCCCCAACUUUGGAGGGCCAAUUGGAGGCCCUAAACCAUUGCCUUAAUUGCUAUGCUUCAAGGUCGACUUUGAUACUACUUGUAGAUCAUUUUGUACAGAUUGUUGAUGCACUAAACUUUUUUGAAAGAAAAUAGGCAGGCAACGUGAUAUAAUUGGAAAUUAACAAAAUUUGAUUUGCUUAUAUUUUAUCUGCCCACACCAAUCAAUAUGAUAAAUGAUAAAAUUAAAAUUGUAGAAGUUGAAAAAGCUACUAGUUGACUUCAUUACUAGUUGACUUCAAUCAUAAUUGGGCCAACAAACUGGGCCAAACUCCAUAUGGCCUGGCUAACGGGCCUCAAAUAUGUUGCUGGAUGAUUUUGAUACUUGCCCUACUUCUCUUUGAAGAGCUAAAAGAUUCCUACUUUUUAAUUUUCUAGAACAAUACCUUAUUUUCAUUAAAAUCAAAAAUUGUUUUCACAAUUUACCUGCUUUUAUAAUUUUACAAGAAAUACCUCAUUUUCAUUUAAAAAAUUAAUAUUACAUUUUUCCUUGGGAAACAUUUUUACACAGGUAACAUAUUAUGUACCAUAUAUUAAUUAAAAAAUAAAUUUUUUGCACGGGUAACAAGUUCUAUAUUAUCAUAUAUCAAUUUUUUAUUAAAAAAUUAAGUUUUUAUAUGGAUAAUAUAAUUUUUUUUAAUUAAAAUUCAAUGUUUAAAACAUUGUUUCAUUUCAUCGAAAAAGUUACAUUUUAUAGGAUCUUAUGUUGUGUUACACAAUGUUAUUUUUAUUUAUAAACAUUCCUUCUUACAUAGGUAACAUAUUGUGUUAUUCUUACUUUUUGUUAAACCAACAUCAUCUACAAAACACAUCCAUCAUCAUCGCCCUUGCACUACCCAUCACCAUCACCAUCACCCUCCCCAAACUAGUUUAUCUAAAACAUCACCUUCGAUCACCACCAUCCCACUUGGAAUCAAGCUCCCAACACAAUUUUUAACCGCCACCAACUUCAUAGCCAACAACAUCAUCUGAAAAACACCAAUGUAAUAAAUAUUAUUAUGUUACCAACACAUGUCACAAGGAUAAUGUAUUAUGUUACCAACACGAAACACAAGGUUAAUAAAUUACAUGUGUAAAACCACCCAAUAUCAUGUCCAUGAUGAAAAUAUAAUACCACUAGAGAAGACGAAGGAAGCACAUUCGCGGGGAUAGAGAGAUUCAACAAUUAAGGUAUAGAGACCUUGAGGGCCCUUUUCUUUUUCUUUUUUUUUUUUGGUGUCCCUUCCCAUACUUCAAAUUCAUUGCCAUUUGACCAAGAAUUUUCGAUUCUCAAGUAACACAUAGUAGUGAAGAGUAGCCAGUAAGUGUCGUGUGAGAGGGCGGAGGUGGUGAUGGAGCAUCACGGUAGCAGAGUCGGCUCUAAAAUUUUGGGGCCUUAAGCCAACUUUAAAUAUGAGGCCCCUUUAAAAAAAAUUAAAAAAUAAAAACUGUUAAUAAAAAAAUUAUUCAAAAUUACAGAAAUAUUGUAAAUUUAUGAGAUAAAUACUGAUGACUAUUUAGGUUUAUCGUAAUACUUAGAUAAAUCUUAUUUUUACAAGAGUCUAUUUACUAUAUUAUAACUCUCCUUUUGAACCUAUAAAUAUGGGUCCACUUUUACAAUAAAAUUAUAUACUCGAGUUUUUAUUCUCUCUCUCUCUCUCUCUCUCUCCCCCCUUUUCUUAUAUUUCUUUCCUAUUUAUUUAGUUUUAUAAUACAUUAUCGGCACGAAUAAGCUUAUGCUAGAAUAGACAAAAAAUUUGAUUUGACAUUGUAGAAAUUCACAAGAUAUGGACUGCCUGCUCGAUUGCGAGCAAAGUGUUGAUAUCUCAGCAUUUCAUUGUCCAAUCAUAAUGAAAUUUGGACAGAACAUUCAAAACAUACUGUUCUUCAAAUCAAUAGUUAAGAUCAAAACUCAACAAUUCAUUUCUAAAAAAUAGCUACGUGAACAAACAAUAGCGAAUUUUUAAAGUACUAUAAAUUUUUUCAAAUUUAAAUCUUUGAAAUCUUUUGUGACGAAUAGCUACGAUUAAGGUUUUUAAAGCUUUCAAAUCUAAAUAAGUCUAUAAGUAUUUUCAUUAUAUUAUAUAUCAUAUUUGUGUAGUUUUAGACCGAUUAAUUUUUUUGUUUUAACUAAUGCUCUGAACAAGCAUAUGUUUGUAUUUUGAUACGAUAUGGUAUUAUUGAUCCUAAAGGGCACGAAUUUACAUUCUUUAGCAUUUUCAAAAAGUAUAUGUUAUUAUUAGCUUUUUUGAAAGGGCACUAAUAUUCAAUGAUAUUUAUGCUCCUGAAAAAGCAAAAAAUACAUUCUCGAAAAAAUAUAACAUAAGUUAUAUAAACAUUUCAAAAGAAUAUCGUUUUAUCACAAAGUGUAAGAUUAAGACUACGAAGACCACAUGAUAUGUAAAAUGUUUUUAGAUUUACAUCUAGUACUCCUUUCUAUAAACAGUCUUGCUUCCCUUUUAUAUUAAAUGGGAUAUAGAUCUAACAAGUAGAAAACUGACAAAUUUAAUACUUUCAUAUCAUUAUCAAAAAACGAAUAAAUUUAAAAAUACCAAAAUGAAAAAAAUAAGAAUAUCCAAGAGGGAAAAAGUUCAAAAUUUAAAAAUAAAAUAAAAUUAUACAUAUAAAUAUUACUAUCAAAAACUGUAAGUGUAAGCCAUAGAGUUUGCAUAGGGUUGAAUUUGGCGAUGGAUAAUUAAUAGGUGUCUAUCAAACUAGCAAAUUUCUAAUUAAAGAUGACUAGUAAGUAUAAAAAAUAAAAUAAAACUUGAAAGAUCUCUCAACCCAAAAAAAAAAAUGACAAAGAGAAAUUAAUGAGAAAAAAAGGAGGAGAAAACAAAGUGACAACCUAAAAACAAGAAAGAAAGAAAGAAAGAAAGCACAAUGGAAAGUCAAUAAUGUAUUCAAAAAAAAUUUUACACUUUGAAAAAUUCUAAUAUAUAUAUAUAUAUAUAUAUAUAGACACACACAAAAAAGAAAGAAAGAAAGAAAGCACAAUGGAAAGUCAAUAAUGUAUUCAAAAAAAAAAAAUUUACACUUUGAAAAAUUCUAAUAUAUAUAUAUAUUUUCAGUUCUUUAUCAUAUAUAUCUAAUUUAAAAUUUUCAAGCUCUUACCAAAAGCAGAGUCUUAGCCAAUCGCCUACCCCAUCUACACUUAGAGCCGUCAUUGCUUGGUAGUUAAAAAUUAGUAAACAAGAAGUGCUUCUUUGUGCCAUAGAAAACAAAUCUGAGUUCUUGACACCUUUCCCCAGCACCACUACUAGUGUAACUCUCUCUCUCUCUCUCCCUUCCUUUUUUUUUUUCAGCACAAAGGAAGGAUGUGAUAUGAUAUUCUGCUGUUGAAAAAUUCAAAAAUUUUGUACGUGUGGUGUGUGAAGGCUUGGUCUUGGCUAAGGCCACCUAGACAAUGGUUGAGGGCCUAAAAAUUUGUUGGGCCUAAAAAAUAAUUAAAAGUGCAACUACAUUUUUCCUUUAUUUUUAUUUUUUUAAAUUGGGCCCUCCGAUCAUUUAAAAGGCAUGGCAAAAUUACAAGAUGAAAAUAGACGAAAUUAGGCCAUAUGCCCCAUUUUUUAAAGAGUUUUGAUUAAUACCUUCAAAAUUAUUUAAAUAUUUUAAAGAAGUAUUAUUUACGUCCUAAAUUGAUAAAAUAAAAUCAAAACUGAACCCAAUUCUACAACAAGUCCUAAUUCCCUAAAACUCCUGAUGCCCUAAUCGUAAACUCCUAAAUCACAAAAUUCAGAAGCCAUCCCUUCUCUCCAACAACAUUCAAUUGUAAAUCUCCAUUUUCAACCCACUUUCCAUCAAUUUCUUCUUCAUUUUUCCUCUGUAACCAUUCAUUUCCGUUCAUUUUCCCUUCAUAACUGUGUAAAUCUCGUAUUUCUGCAAUGUCUGAGAAAAGUGGAUCGAAGAGGAGGCAAAGAAAUCUCGAAGAACCAUCCUCAAAGAAGAGGACCAAAAUUUCUUCAUCUUCUUAUAAACCGAAGGUAGCAACAUUUUUUUAUGUGUUUUAUUGAUUUAUAUUGCGUACAUUGUCUUGUUCUUUACGAUUUUUGUAUGUUUCUCAAUGGUUUUUGAACAUUUUGUUUAGUGAUUGCAAAUUGUGUAGUUGUCUCAAUGAUUUUAGUACAUUUUACUGAUUUUAGUACAAUUGUUGCUACUGUGGGUUUUGGUUUUGGUGAUACAUUUCACAUUUUAUUCUCCUGCGUAGCACUUGUCUUUUUAUUGUGUUAUGUGAUUCUCCAUUUAAGCUAAAAACAUUAAUUCCUGCUUCCAUAUUCUUGUGAUUCCCCUAGUGAGUUUACUAUGCUAUUUUGCCUAUAGUAUUUAAUAGUGACAGAGCCAGCAUUCGUGUCCAAUGAACAUUCUAAAUCUACAAUGUGUAUGUAGAAGCUACCAUCACUAUAGGCUACAAGGCAAACUGUCUGUCAUAGUGGCAUUUAAGUUUACCCCUGUAUGCAAUAGCUUGAAGCAUGACUAAAACUCUGUCAAUUCAUCAUUACACCCUUGAAAACCAUAUUGUGGGAUGCCAAAAAUUAUUGUUCUUUCUGAAUAUUUUUAGAAAAGUGAGUUUGAACAUCAAAGCAUCUUUAGAAAAGUGUCAAGGCAUGGCACAAUCACAAUCAGUUGGCUAGUGCUUAUACAAGUCAAAAACACGUUGAUUGUUAACACAACUACUGGCUUGAACUUUUGAGUAACUAGUCUAUGAAAGCCUGUUAUUUGAUCCACCUUCAGUCCAGGCUAUGAUUGUAAACCAAAUCUUAUGAGACUUUUAAAAAAACUAACUAUAUUUUUUCACAAAUGUUCAUCGUUUCUGGUUGAUGGGAAGUGGAGAAUAGAAUGCAUUUUUUAUCUGAUAAAAUUUUUUAUUUCGUUUUUCUUGUAUAAUAGCACUUUCCGUUUUUCCUGUAUAACUAUAGUUUGGUUUUCAUUGUUUCUAGUUGGUCUUAUAUGGUGACUUUAGAAUGCACACUAAAAAUGUGUGGACGUGUAUGUAUGCAUGGUGGUUGUGCCUUUGUUUAUAUGAUUUUCCAAUGAACAAAUUUGCUUAUCCAUUGCACUUGAGUUAAGAUUGAAGUAUUGAUAUUCUAAUGAUAAGUCUUUGGCUUUCCCUUUAAAUUCUUGAUUAAGGUUUUGAUCUUUUGAAUGAUUGAUGUGUGUACAAAUGUACAGGUAACUUUAAUUGAGUUUUUUGGCCUUCACUCAAAUCUAUCUAUACUCGAAUUUGUCAAUUGACACUUAAAAUUUAUUAUCUGACCUUUGAUUGAAGAGUGAAUAUCAUCUGAGUGCAUUAAAUUCUUUUUAGGGAGAGUCCAGCUUAUAGUCCAUUAGCAGUACAUUAUAUGUCACUUUUUUUUUUUUUUUUUAUAGUUUUUGUCACUUUUUUGACUUUAUAUCACUUUUUAUUUUAUUUUAUGUCUUUUUUACAAGUGUAUGCACUCUUUUAAUUACAAACAUAUUUUCAAUCGUCUGAUUGUAUUAAAUUCUUUUUUGUCCACCUUAUAGUUCAUUGAUAGUGCACUAUAUGUCACUUUUUUUUAGUUUUUGUCACUUUUUUGACUAUGUGUCACUUUUUAUUUUAUUUUAUGUCACUUUUCCAAGUAUAUGCACUCUUUUAGUUAUAAACACGUUUUCAAUCAUCUGAGUGCAUUAAAUUCUUUUUUGUCCAGCUUCUAGUCCAUUGACAGUGCACUAUAUAUCACAUUUUUUUAGUUUUUGUCACUUUUUUUACUCUGUGUCACUUUUUUUUUGUUUGUAACUUUAUGUCACUUUUCUAAAUGUAUGCACUUUUUUAGUUACAAACAUGUCUUCAAUCAUUAUAAUAUUUUUGAAAUGUGUAUGUUCUAGACUUUUAUAAUGCUUGUACUUCUUCUUGAAUUUUAUUUUAAUUGUUUUUUUUUUGUAGGUAAUCCCUCAAUGCUGUUGGUUUAAGGGAAAAGUGACAUUGUUAUCCCACAUGAGGUGAUAACAGAUUUGAAUGAAAAAUUUUGUCCAUAUCAAAGGAUUUUAUUCAAGAAUACAUGCUUUGGUGCCUUCAUUGAUUUGAAGGAAAUAAUCUUGCAACCACAAUAGAUACACCAGUUGCUGCUUAGACAAGUUAAGCAGCCAAAUUCAAAUGAAUUGUGGUUUCAUAUUUGUGAUAAAUUGGUGAUAUUUUCAAUCAAAGAGUUUUGUUUGAUAUCAGGGCUUAAGUGUACUGGAAAUGGUGAUCUAACUCGAUAUAGAAUGAAAAGUUAUUUAAAAAAACAAUACUUCAAAGAUCACGAAUGUGUUGCAACAAAAGAGGUUCAAGAAGUGUUUUUAAAUUUGCCUACUCACACUGUAGAUAAAGAUGUUGUGGAUAUAAGCAUAGUUUAUUUGAUUACAUCCUUCCUUUUUGGUAUAUUCUAUCAUAAGGGAGUUGAUGACUCAUUUUUUUGCCUUGUGGAGUCUGAGAAUUUAAAUUCUUUUCCAUGGGGUAUAGAAAUUUUUAAUAUGACUCUAUCAUCCCUAAAGAGUGCAUUUAAUCAGAAAAUGAAGAAUAUUUUUAUGGAAAAAAAGUUUUUGGAGUAUAGAUUGAAUGGCUUCCUAGUUUUUUUUUCAAGUAUGAAUUAAUGAAACAAUUCCUACUAUUGCACGGAAAAAAUACUGUAUUAAGCAUGAAUCUCAGCGUCCUUGAAUGUUGAGUUGGAGUAGCAAUCAACAUGUGACAUCUGUGGGGUUAAGGAAGACCAUUUUUGAUUUGAUUAAAGUAAGUUUUUUACCCUUUUAUUGUUAAUAUUAUGUCUUUAGUUUAUCUUUUGUUGUUAUUAAUAUGAUUAUGUAUCUUUCAAUUAAAAGUGAAUCAAAUUGUGCCUCUUGAGGCUGAGAAGGGAGAAGAGUAUGUUGUUGAUUUAUUUGUUGAAGGUUUGGAUGGUGAACAGGAUGAUGAUAAUUUUGAGCAUCCUAUUGUUCGCCUGAAAAAGUUAAUAGAUGAAGGAAAAAUAAAAUCUGUUGAUCAAGCUGAAAGGUCUACAAAAAAGAAAAACAAAGGAAAUAUUGAUGAGGUUUGUGGGUAUUUUUCUUUUUAUUAUUUUCUGUUCACCAUGCUGGAAGUUUUUUCAAAUAUUCUUAUUAUUUUGCAUUCUUUUCAGCAAGUCCAGCAAUCAAAUGAAAAACUUUUAAGACGGCUAUCCGAGGUUGAACUGAAAUUUGUUUAAUCAAUGAUCUAAUUUUAAAAUGAAUCUCAAAUCUUGAAGUUAGAAUCCAAUCAAAUCCUAUUGAGAACCGGCUAAAAGAUGUUGAAGAAAGGGUUAAAAUGAAUGAAGAAGUGAUAGAGCGUCUACAAAUUUUGAAACGCAAAGUAGAGAAGAUUCUAGCUGAUAAUGAAGGCAUUUAAGAGUUAUUGAGUUUAGAAUUGAUACUUGCGACUUUUUGCUGAAUUUUGUUACUUUUUUAAGUUAUUGUCACUUUUUGAUGAUCUUUGUGACUUUUUUUGUAGGAUGGUGUGGAGCGUUUACCUGAUGAAAAAGACCAGGUGUUAGCUAUUAAUGAAGAAGAAAUGAAGGUGUUCAAGAGUUAUUGAGUUUAGAAUUCAUACUCGCGACUUUUUGUUGAAUUUUGUUACUUUUUUAAGUUAUUCACUUUUUGAUUAUCUUUGUAACUUUUUUUGUAGGAUGGUAUGGAGAGAUUACCUGAUGAAACGGACCAAAUGUUAGUGGGUAAUGAAGAACAAAUCAAUGUAUUCAAGAGUUAUUGAGUUUAGAAUUCAUACUUGCGACUUUUUGUUGAAUUUUGUUACCUUUUUAACUUAUUGUCAAUUUUUGAUUAUCUUUGUGACUUUUUUUUGUAGGAUGGUGUGGAGAGUUUACCUGAUGAAAUAGACCAGGUGUAUAAUGACUUCCCUAGUUUUUAUUUAGGUAUUGAGUUUGAAUUGAGUUGUGGGAAAAAAGAUGUAGAGGUGCCUGUCAGAAAAAGUGAGAAGUCAGUUGAAAAAAGUGAUAAGGCAGUGGGAAAAAGUCUCAGGGCAGUGGUAAAAAGUGAUAAGGCGGUCGAGAUGAAUUUGAAUGAAGAAAUAGAAUUUCAUGAAAAUGAUUGGUUAAGAGUUGAUGAUAUUGUUGCUUGUAGUUUAAGAAAAAAUCAAGAAGUACUUGUGUUUUCAUUCUAUCAUCUUUUUCGUCAUAAUUUAUGUAUAUUUUUACGUUAAUAUAAUUUGAGUUUGUGUUAUUGUUCAUGUCCCAGGAUAUUCCAUCACCAUCUAAUAAAGGCAGAAUUGAAUUGUUUGAGAAGGUUGAAUUGAAAGAUGAUGUUUGGGAGAAUGUUGUGGAAGUCACGGCUGCAAUUGAAGCUAAAACUGAAAUUGAAAUUGAAGAGUGAAAUGUUGAAACCAUUGAUAUUGAUGAUGUGACCCCAAACAUGCAUAUGAAAAGACAAAAGAAACCCGGAGUGUUUUUUCAGUCCCCCUAGGUCAAUGAAUUUGAUUCUACAUUCGAGGACUAAGAAACGUGUUGUUAAAGGUACUUUUGUAUUCCCGGUUGGUGUUGGACCUCCGAUGGCACAUGAUGUUAAUGCCUUUGAGCUUUGGUUUAAUAAGGGAUUGUAAAGAAAAAUAAGUUGUUACUAAUAUAUGUUGUUUGUGAAUUUUUUCUAGUACAAUAACUUUCAUGAGACUUUUUCCAUUUUAUUAUGUAGGAAAAAACAUUUCAAUGAUGAAAAUUCCGUCAUCAAUCCAUGCUUUUAUUUUAGUGACAUUGCAAUCUCUACAAAACAAUGGUAGUAUGAGUUGUUUACUCCAAAUGAAUGUUUGGAAGAUACAGUAAGUUAUUUUAUAUGUUGGUGUUUUUAAGAUUAUUUUGUUUAAUUUUUAUUACUAUUGUUGAUUUUAUCAUUUUUUUUUUGUAUCAUAUUGAUGUGUGUUUCUAUUAUUUAAGAAAGUUGUUAAGAUAUGGAGAAAGGAUAAACAUAAAGGCUACAGCCACAGAUUUUUCGUUUGAUAGCCAAAUGAGAGGUCUUUAUGCCGACUUUUGCCACGAUAAGUCAGCUCUAAAAUGCAGACUUCUCUUCUUUCAUCUGUUAUUGAGUUGUAUAUGUCGUGCAACACAAAUUGGAGCCUUGUUGACCAUGUGCUUAUUCCAAUUAGAAUGUCCGAUUCACCUCAUUGGAUUUUGUGUCAUUUCGACAUUCAACAUAUGUAUCUUAAUGUAUAUAAUUCGUACAACAAGGUUGUGAGAAAGACAUUGGUACUUGAGGCGAUUAACCAUUUUCUGAUAUUAUUCCUCAUCUUCUCUUUCAUACUGACUUCUCUGAGGGAAAGGGCAUUUCAGAAGAAGAAGCUUUGAAACCAUUAGUUGUAAAAAUGGUUCCAAAACUUCCACAACAAAAUAAUGGAUAAGUUUAUUUCUAAAGAUUUUUUUUUUCAUCUGACAUUCUAGUAUAUAAUUAUCUAAAAUACUUUUCACUAUUUUAUGCAGUGGAGAUUGUGGAAUUUAUGUAAUUAAGUAUGCCUAGUACUUCAUUAAUGAAAUGUUAAAUGAGAUACCAAAGUCUUUUAAUGUUCCACAUCUUAGAAGAAAUUUGGCAGCUCAAUUAUAUGCUUAUGGAAAGAAGAAGCAAGGAGAUGAAUAUGAUACAAAUAAUGAAUAGGUGUUAAAGGAGAUGAAGUAGCUAUACCCUGAAAAGUAGGUGAUUUUCAAGAAGUGAAGAAACAUGUCUUGUUUUUGUAAUGAUGUGUCUUGAUUUGUAAUGACUGAUUUGAUUGGGUUGGUAGUUGAUGUUUUGUAUAUAAUGACUGAUCUAGGGAAAAGUGGCAAUGUCAAUGGUGGUAGACAACUUCAAUUGUUAAUGACUGAUUUGUUAGAACGUGUUUUUUCUUUUACAACAUCAACGGAGCAGGGAUAUUGGU
rnacentral:lncRNA from 1 species